CGCAGAGAACCUUAGGUUGUAUCAUGCUUGAAGUUAUGACUUCAUUCGGUUAUUUCAUCAAAGUUGACUCUAUCCAGUUAUCUUGCCAAGCUAUGACUUCGGCUAUUAUGUUAUUUUUCAACAUCGUUAUUACGCAGUUAAAAAAUAAGGGGGACAACCAAGGGAUGAACUCAAAGCAAGAAACAAGAAAUUAAAGAGCUGAGAUGAAAAGAAAUAGACUUUCAUUCAAUAGAAGUAUUACAAAAAAUACAAGGCCGAGGUCGGAGUGCUACUAAACACUUCACCUCGGCCACCCCCUCGAAGCAUAUGAGCCUAGACCCCCGUCUCGGCUCCAUUCCCGGUUUUGGCUCCCUCCUGGGCAGCCUCCUCUUCGGCCUCUUUUCCGCCGGGGUGUUCAUCUCCAGGCUCUUUUCCGAGGUCCCCUCCGACUUCGUCCCCCCCGGCCUCGUUUCCCUCAGCUUCCUCUACUUCCACGUCCUCGAACACGUCGUCGAGUUCGGACAGCCACUUGUUGAACUCGACCUGGACUUCGGCCAAGUUCCUUCCCGCCUGAAUGCCUUCGGCCAUCCGAUCACAUAACUCCUUUGAGUCUUCAUUGUAACUGGCAUGAUUUUUCAAAGACUCCAAGGUUUCGGGGGAGAGGUGAGUUGCGGCCUCGUCAAUGGCCGAUGUGAAGCCAAACAUGAAGUUAGGCGUAAGCAGUUGGCCGAGGUCCUUGAUGAAGGCAUCGGACCUCCGAAACGCGUCCACAGCCGAGGCUCCAGCACCCUCGAGAGCUUGUGCGUGGGACUUCUUCACUUCGUCCCCCCUUUUCUGUUCCUCCUCGAGGGCUGAUCUAAGACUAUUCAUAGUAGCCUCAGCAUCCUCACCCUUAGCUUCAGCCUCUUGAAGUUGCCUCUGAAGCUCCGACUUCUCGGAUUCGGACACCGCCAGUUGUUUCUCCAACUUGGAGAUCUGAGUCUGCAGCUUGCCGGUGUCCUGCUCCUCGACUAGAGCACAGUAUCUGUGAGCCAUCUCGGCCGCAAAAGCUGAGUUGGAAGCCGUGGUCACCAUCAGACUUUGAACCAACUCGGCCGGGCUCAGUUUUUUCAUGAACUCCAAAUCCCUUGGCAGAGUGGAGUGCAUUACUAGCUCCUGUGCAACCCGAGGAUGCUGGCACCGGUCGUUGACCGAAACUUUCCAGUUCGGACACCAAUGAUUGCCGGAGUGCGUCUUCUCCUCCCCGGGAAACACUGGGGGGCUAUGGAAACGAUUCCAUAGCGAAGUCCCCGAGACUGGAUUGGCCGGGGCCUUCAGCUGCUUGCCUCGGCCCUGAGGAGGUGGGAGUGCCGUAACGACUCCGAGAGGCACUCUCUCUGGCACGGACGAAGUGGACCCAGUAGCCGCGGUGGCCGAGCUGCUCUGGCCGACCUUGGUGGGAGUGCUUGUAGCCGCCGGGGUCUUGGCAGCCUGUCCCUGUGCUUUCUUCUUCUUUGGCGGAAGUGCCGAUGUCUCGUCAGUACUCUUCCUCUUCGACCUCUUGGCCACUUCGGACGAGCUGGAGACGACGAUAUCGGACAACUUGACCACUGCACAAGAAGUAAAUAUUAUCAUAUGCCUUAGCCGAAGUGAAAAGAAAAGCCAUGAAAGAAAAUUACGAGGUUUCUCAAGUUUAAUGGAAAAGAAGGGGGUCUUGGUAGUGUUGAUCACGGCUCGACUUAUCCCCCCAUCCACGAGCACGGCUUCGGGGUAGUCAUGGCUGAACAGCCGAAGUCCCGACUUCAUCAGCUUCUGGAAGGACUCUUCUUCGGCAUCCCCGGCAGAGGGGUUGGCCUUCGCCUUAAUUAGCCUCCACCAAAAAUCCCUCGGGAAGUCCACUCCGGACACGAAAAAGUAGUCGCGCUUCCAGUUCUUGAUCGAGCUGGGAGCACCGAUCACCAACUUCGGGAUGGCAUUGUUCCGGUUGCCAACAUAAAACCAUCCCUUAUCCGUCGCGUGCGCCUUGAGGGUGUAGCAUCGGCGGAAGAGAUCGACGGAGGGAGUCACCUCCUGAUGUCGGCACAGCAUCUCAAACCCCACAAUGAUGCGGAUCGCAUUCGGGGUGAGCUGGGUGAUUCUCACCUGGAAGUGACGAAGUAAGUCCCGGAGGAAUCUCGACGUCGGCAUUCUCAGCCCGGCCUCCAGCUGUUAAACGUAGACGGCCACCAUGCCAAAGGGGGGCUCCGCGGCUGUGUCACCCACCUCGGGCGGCAAAAUUUCGUACCAAGGCCGGAAGGGGUACUUGUCUACCACCUUCAUGGCCCUAUCUCUUCCUACGCGACUCCUAAACUUCGGCAUCUGGCCGAAGUCGAUGUCGGUUACGUCCACUGGAGCAACUGGCUCCGAUACACCCUCGUCAUGGGGUAUCUCGGUGCCGAGCUCGGUAUUGUACUCCACCUCGGAGCCGCCUUCGCUGAUCUCGGACGAUUCCAGUUCCGAGGCUGUCUCUCCGGCUCUCACCUCGGUCGAUCCUUCCUCGGAACUCUGUGCCGACCCCUCCGAACUGGACGUCGUCGCUUCUUCCUCAGAAUCCGCCCUCACCUCGGUCUGGUAGCUCGGGGUCACGGUUUCUUUAUGGGUUUUCGCGGUUUUAGCCAUGAGUGAAAGACGAGAUAAGAAAGAAAAAGGGAUACUUACUAUUGACUACGAUAUCGGACGCAGUGAAGACUUCGGCAAGGAUCUCGGCUGAUGGAACUGACCUCGGCUACGCUCGUGAAUUAUACAAGUAUUGGAUGAAAGUGAAAGGUGUGGGAAAUGCGGUGAGGGGGCCCCCCAUUUAUAGGGGUUCUUGGGAACCCGAAGAGGCGGCAAGAAUACGGAAGGGCGGCAACGAUCCAAAUUCCAGAUACUUUGUGUCUGCCCUUCUGUCUCUCCCUCUCUCCUCAUUAAUGCCCUGUCCUUUCGGCUGACACUCUGCACGAAACGUCCCACUACUUCACGACGUGACGGUUACGUGCCGACUCACUCUCCAGGUCCCUUCAACUGACAUGCCCACGUGUCACGUCCCCGCAUCUUCCGGAGCAGGCUCGGGACCCCGACUCUUCACGACUUCGGCAGAAGGAAGCCUCGGCACCUCCCUUGCUCGGAGCAUCCGAGGCUUGGGGGGCUUAUUGAGGAUGCUCACCUCGGCCAUCCCGAGUGGCCGAGGUGAACUCACCUCGUCCCUCAUCGGAGCUCAUCCCUGUCUUGAGCACAACCCCAGAGCUCGGCUUCAUCCCUAGUCCACCGUGUAGGUGACCUCGGCACAUCCACCUCGGCUGCACGCUGAUGAUGUCAACCCACCUGACAUCAUCCAGGACCAGCACUUUAUCUGAAAAGCACUGGAGGCACUUAAUGGCACCUGCACCAUAUCCUCCGUCAUCACUCCCAGGCGGCUACAGUGUUAGAGUCAGACCUCCUGACAGGAGACAGAGCCGUAAUGCCAGAGAGUGGGUCCCGCUAGCAUGAGCCUUCCGUCUUGACCACCUCUCUUCUAUAAAUACCUCACUCACACUCCCAACAAGUAAGCAGACACUGUUCAUUAACUCAUUCUCAUUAUUCUCGUUCUCAUACUAACUUGAUCGUCGGAGUGAUACCAGGGGAGAAGCCCCGCCACUCACUUCGGACAAGGAGGCUCAAUUCGGACACAGGAGUUCACCUCACUUCAUCUCAGAGAGGACUGAUCCAGGUCGGUCUAGUUACCAACCAAAAAUCACCUCCUCACUGUGGUACAAUUGUCUUGUUUGAUUAAUCUUCAUUCAAGUGUUUUCCUUGACAACGUCUAUUCACACUUACCAAUCUAUGUGCAGGUUCAUUCAACAUAGCUUAGAAAAUAGUGAAAUCUUUUAGUGAAGACAUCAGAAGCAGUGUAUUGGCUACUAUGACAGAAUGGGACAUGAACAAAUGACCAUCUCUUCGCAGUAAUGGCGACACCUAUAACAGCAUAUUUGGUCUACUUAUGCUAUAUAUAUAUUUAAGGAAGCGAAAACCAAAGAAAAGAAGAGUUUUUUAUGUAUACUACUAAAGAAUUUUUAGACUAAGAAUAUUAUGUAUACAUGUGCCUUUAUGUGCAUAUUUUUUUUUGUUGCAUCUAUGCGUUUAUUAAAGCACAGAAAAUAUGGGCCUGUUUGGAAGCCAGGUUUUUGGACAAGUUUUUUACCUACUAGUUUUUUAACAACUUUUGCUACAAGAAUCCCAAAAAACUUCUCAGAGUUUUUUACCUACACACUUAAAAUAUCCAAAACACACAAAAAAAAAUUCCUUCCCCUUUUUUUUUUCUUCUUCCUCCCCCACCCCAACCCACCACCACCUUCGUCGGCGGCCACCACCUCCACCGCCGGUUCCGGCGCCGAUCACCUCUUCCGGUGUCGGUUUUCUUCUUUUUUUUUUGCCCUUUUUCCCUCUCCCCCUCUUCCUCUCCUGCCAUCCUCCCCUCUGUCUUUUUUUUUUCUCUCUGCGUCUCCCCCACCACUCUUCCCCUUCCCCUCUGGCCAAUCUGGUUGCUAGACCAGAUCGCACGAGGGAGAGUGAGGGUGGCGGGGGAAGGAGAGGAGGGGGGAGAAGGAAAAUUGCCAAAAAAAAAAAAUUUCAUUUCGCUGCUUCAUCCGUUGGCAAGAGCAAGGGGAGGAGACGGGAGGAGAGGGAGAGGGAAAAUGUGAAAAAAGAAAGGGGCAAAGGGAAGGUGAGAAGCGGGAAGAGGAACAGGGGAGGGGGAAGGGGUAGAGAGAGUGGCGGGAAAGAGAGAGAAGGGGUAGAAGGAGUGGUGGGGCAGAGGGGAGGAAAGGGAUGGUGGGCAUAGGAGGUGGCGGGGGAGGGAGUGGGAGGGGUGGCAACCCAAGGGGUGGCAGGCAGGGGGAGGAAUGGGGAAGGGAGUGGGAGGGGAUGACGGGGGAGAGGGUAGGAAAGGGGUGGCGGGGGAGGGAGAGGAGAAAAGAAAAAAAAAAAGAAGAAAGGUGGUGUUGGCGGAGGUGCUGGAGGUGGGAGGUAGAGGUAACGGGGAAGGGGGAGGGGGAAGGAAGAAGAAGAAGAAAAAGAAGAGAUGAAAGAAAAGAAAAAGGAAAGAAAGAAAAAGAAAGAAAAAAAGAAAAGGAAAAAAAAUUUCACCUCACAAAUACUUCUACAAAAUUUUUCAUAUUAUAAAAACUUCUAUAAAAAAGUUUUUCACUUUAUAAAAACUUCUACAAAAAUUUUUCAAAAACUUUUACAGUGCACUACAGUAAAGUUUUAGACAAACUCCCAAAAAACUCAGGUUCCAAACAAGCCUAUAACUGAAGAAAGAGUAGAUAGAACAUUUUUAGUUGGAGCAGUCCAGCCACCGGGAGUUUCAAUCUAACCGAUUUUGAAUUCCUGUUUUCCUUUAGAGGUGCAAAUAGUUCUUUUAUAAUGUUUAUACUUGUCACUUGUAAGUGAGUAUAAAUUGUACAUAGAAUUAUGCAAAACAAAGUCUUCAAAAAUAUGGUAAAGAUUUUUUAUGUAGCCAAAGAAUUAAUCAACAAAGUGUUCAUGCACAAAUUUGCCACCAAGUUUUUCUUCUAGCAUAAAGAAUAUACUAUUCGGUUGUUCUGUUCUAAGAUUAAAAUCCAUUGGAAAGCAUAUAACUAGGGUGGGCUUAAGCAAUAACUGAACACGUUAAUGCUUAUUUAUUCAACAACUCCUAGUUGAACAAAGUGGUAUUUCCAUAUUUGUUGCGUAUUAUGAUUUUGAAAUUCUAUUUUAAUGAAUUUGGAUACAAAAUUUUUUUUAACUAUAAGUUUACUUGGUCACCACCACAUUCUACAGUCCUCACCCUAGAAUUAGAAUUAUCCUUGUUAGAGGAGUGAUUAGGCGGGGACCUAGAGUUUGUUGGUUCCCUAAUUGAAGUAACCCUUAUUGCCUUAUCAUCGUCAUCUCCAUCUCCAAAUUCUACAAUGCCACUAAGAGUUGCUGCUGGAAUUGGAGUUGAUUGCCACUAAGAGUUGUUGCUACAAUUGGAGUUGCCUUGAGGGGAGUCACUGUAGUGUCUAGCAAACUCCUUUCUUCUUGAGUCUGAUGCGACCAAGAGCUUGUUUGUUCCCUAAUUGAAGUACCCGUCAUUGUUUCCUUAUGAAUCACUUUCAUGCUAGAAUUGACACUUUUUUGAUUUCAAGAAUUUGUUUAGUUAAGGAAUCAUCAUCACAAGAGGAUGACUCGGAAGGGGGAAGGGAUGACUCAGGAGGCUUGUCCAUGAUUGAGGUUCUUGGCAGAUGGAGAUAUUGGUUCGGAGAAAUGCAGAUGGAGAUUCUCGGGUUCUUGGUGGAUGGAAAUUUUGGUUUCAACAAACGCAGAAGGAGAGGAGAAUCUUGGUUUCAAGAAAUGCACAAGGAGAGGAGAAUAUUGAUUUUUUGGUAUUGAACGUUUGAAGAAUGGAUCAAAAUAGAAGUGCUUAUAUAGGUUUGUAUUUCUGGUUGUGACCGUUGAUUAUUUAAAAAAAUGAUAUUGGGUUGUCUUUCGUGGUUUCGAGAUUUGUUAUGGGAGGCAUAAUGAUAGGUAGAAUGAUGUCAUCUUAGUCUAUCUAAUUAUUUGUUACUAUGCUGAAAUUGCAGUGUUUUGCAAUUAGGGUUUUGAUAUUGCAAUAUUUUGGCAAACAAAAUAAAAUAUGGGCAAAUUCGUCAUUGAUGCGUAGCAAUUUACAUAACAAGAAAUAGAGUAUCGAGUACACCAUACUAAUAUUCUCUGAUAUACUUGAUUAAUUCAAAGUCUAAAAUCCCUGACCUUCAAUUGCGUUGACACUAGCUUUAAUUUAGCCGAGUGACGAUUUCGCAAAAAUAGCCUUAGCCCUACUAAUAUCUUUUCUCAACAUAAGUGUAUAAGGAAGGAACAGUCCUAUGCUAUUUUUUUUUUUUUUUUGUUUCUAAAAAUCAGAGUAGGGUCUAAGAUGACGAACAGAGGACUGAAGUUACAGAGUGGUGAACUUCAGUUAUGCGACCUGUGCGAUGUAUAUUUUUUUUAAACGCUGAUUUUUACCAAAUUACAUUUGCCUAAUAUAAUUAAGAUGUCAUUAUUACUACACAAUGAUACAUAUACUAAUAUUAAUAAAAAUUCAUCAAUGCAUAAUAUAAAUCUGAUUAUGUCUUGUACUAUUUUUCUUUACAGCCUCAAUUAACUCUUUGUACGAGUGUUUCUAGACCAAAUAAAUUUCAAAACCCUCCAAAUAAUUUCUUAAGAAUAACACCUUAUUUACUAACCAUAUGCACUAAUCCAAAUUAACUUUAGAAAAAAAAAAUUCUCAAAUGCACAUUAACGUUGAAUAAACACUAAUACCUGAUAAAAAAAAAAAAAAAAACUCCAACUCAUAAGUUAAUCCAGCUAACUGUAAUAAUAAAAAAACACCAAAAAGAGAAACAAAAAAAUUUCCAGCUUUAAACUGCCGCAAUAAUAUAAUAAUCUUAUAGUUCAAUGGCAUGAUAUGAUCUUAUAAUUUAGUGAUACUGUACAAUAACCUCUUUCAAUUUCAUGAAAUGACACUGGUGAGCUCGAGAUAUACUAUUACAAAUAUAUUAGUUCCUCUCAUUACAUUUGUUUCAUACAUGUGUAAAAAAAAACCCCAAAAAAAAUGAAAAAAAGCAUAGCAACUACAUUUUUGGAAGUCAUAAUUAAUAUUAUUGAAUCUACCAAUAUCAAGAAGCAAAAGCGAAUCAAAGCAAGAUGGCAACGAACACUCUUGAUGAUCCUGUUACACUUCCUUUUUCUUCUACUCAGCAGCUAAAGAUGGCCUAAAGCUAACCAUUUAUUCACCGUCAAGGAUACUUAAGAAUGCCAAAAAUAGAUUAACGAUGUCAGAAUAAAGUGCAGUUGCAGCUAGGAGGUAUUCAUCAUAGUCAAAACGCUUGAUCAGGUUGUCAGUGUCGUAUAUCAGGAAACCACUAAACACCAGCGCUGCUGCAGAUCCCGCUAUCAGUGACCCUAAUCUUCCCAUGGGAAAGAGGAUCUGUUUAUCCACAAAAUGAAAAACAAAAUGUCAAACCAGUCCAGGAACUUGCUUAUGAUGCAGACAAUAACUUUGUUAUAGACAUCUAGUGCGUGGAAGGAGAUAGAAGUUUAGGGUUUAUUCAAUUUUAUUUUUUUUAAUGUAUUUGAAAUUGUGUGUUUUUGAAGUUUUGUUUUUUUUUGUUUUUGUUUUGGAAUUUGUUAGUGUAGAUCCCACAAACAAAAAAGUUCGUGAGAAAAACAGCAAAUCCAAACGGAACUCUUAGCUCUACCCUAAGGUGAUGUACCCAUUUGUCUAUCUAAUGCAAAUAAAUCCUUAAUUUGACUUGUGAAUUAUGUUGUUUAAUUAUUUAAAUUCAUGCCAUGUAGAUGUAGAGAUGGUCAUCAAGGAAAAUAUCAAAAACUAUAUAUGUACUCUACUCUUUUUUCUUUUCUUUUUUUUUCAUCAAAAACUACCGUAUUGUGGUGAAUUUAAGCUCUUUCAUGGAUUAUACAUUCAUAGGCAUAUUUUCCAAUUGCAUUAUAUUGUACUCUUGGUAGAAUCUACGCAUGGAGUUUUAAAUAGUGUUUAACAUAUGCUUAAAUAAACCGAUUGAUUAGUUAGGGAUAAUAUUAUACCAAUUACAUUACGUAUAAGCUAAGUGAAACAGAAAUAAAUCAGAAACAUGAAGAGACUAGUGUAACAUACUCGAAUAACACUAAAAGCCAUGAGCACCAGAAGGGCGCAGAGUAAGAAUGGCCCCAAAAAGCUAAAAUCCUGGCCUCUUUUUGCUGCCCAGAAUGUGUAGAGGGUAAGACCAGCAGUCACCAGCACCGUUAGAGCAGCAGCUUGCAAGACAAUUUCACCUAUAGCCACAGCUCAGUUAGCAAAAAUUUGGCCUUCCUGCUUAAACUAUAUUAAUAAGAACUGUUUAACCUCUUAACCUCAAUUAACCUCAUUGAAACUUCAUAAACCAACAUAAGAAAGUGCUAUACUCGGAUGUUACUAAGCUUUGAUGAUUUAUUUAUACUGCGGUUCUGGCAAAGGUAAAAUACAAAGGAAAUUAAUUAGUGGGUUUAGUUUUGCAUUAAUUACCUCUUCUAUAGGCGCAAGCCACUCCAAUCAUGAAUGACAUGGACAGGGUGAAGAGAAGCGCUAACACGUAGUUCCAUGGAUGUUUAUUGCCAAAGCAGCUCAUCAACAAAGAUGCUGCAGAAGUAGUAUUAGUAUGAAAAACAUAUUAUUAAUAACAACGAAUGCAAGAAUUAAAUAGAAGUAUAAAUAUGUGUAAAAGCUCAAACAGAUAAGCACCCUCUUAUUGGUUGAUUGUAGGAUAUUUUUACAAGAAAAGUUUUAGUUAAUUAAAUCAUCUUGUUAGCUUAAAAACAGGAAGGGUUAUUGGCCUUGUUUUCAAAUAAAGCAAAAUAAAAUAAAUUGCAAUGUGAAGUCAUUGAAGGUAUUGAGAGGAGGAGAGAAGCCUACGUCAUAAUGUGGCUUUUGAUAAUGAUGAUAAUAAUAAUAAGAAGACUAAAAUGUGUAAUAAUUAAUUAAAAACACUAAAAUCUUGGGCUGGUCCGACCAUCCUUUUUUAGGAGGUUACAACUUACACAUAAAAAUAUGCGCAAAUUGUGGCUGACAUUGCGAUUAAAAUCUUGGAGACGCUUUUGAAAACCAAAUAUUAAGGUUCAAGUUUGGAGGAAAAACAAUUCUAAUUAAGAACCAUCCGAUCAAGAAACUAAAAAGAUGAAAAGUACAAAAAUUUUAAGAGAAUAAGAAUGUAGCUAGGGAGGUAGAAUGAAGUUUACAUAUGAGGGUGAGAAUGCAAGCCACAAGGACGAAGACCCAGCCAAGCGGAUUUGCUAUCAGAAAAUGUUUGAUGGUAGGGUUGAAAAACAUCACCAUCCCCACAGCAAAGCUGCAAAGCAAUUGCAGGCAUAAAAGCACGUAAACUUUCCUGAUAAAAGCCCAUCUCAUCUGUGGAUUUUCCAUCAUCCCCGGAUAGAGUUGGCCAUUGUUGGCAUUUUCAACAUCUCCACCUUUUCUUGAAAAUCCUCCCAUUUGAAUUUGCCUUGGAGGAAAAAAAAUCCAAUGAAAAAUUGACCUCUUUUGUUGUUUUUUUCUUCUUUCUUUGGGUCUAACUGAGAGGUUUAUUUACAUAAACACACACAUAUAUAUCAACCCAACCAAAAAGAGUUGAUAUAUACAAAAUGCAUGCACAAAAUGACUUUAAUGGCUAGGUGUAGAAUUGGGAUGCAACAGUUGAGUUUUGAAAGAUGUAUUUUGUCUGGCAAGGAAGAGGGAGAGCUGAAAGAAUAUGAUGGUUCUUUUGGAUUCUUGAAAGAUGUAAAAGAAUGCGAAGGAGGGAAGGUUGAAAUUCUCUAUAUAUACUCCGAUAAAUUAGGAAAAUUGUUUGACGCUGGAGUACAUAUGGAUUGGUGGUUUUUCUAGAACCAGAAAAACUCACCGCAAACAGUACCCCCAUUUUUUGCCGAAACCCCAACAACCAUGGCUGAUUGCACACCCUCUAAUUUUCAGAGCAUUUUUAGUUUAAUGAUUCUUUAGUUAAAAACUUCCUAGAUUUGUAAAAUUAUUAAAUGAUUCUUUAGUUACAAUUCUUUCAACUAUUUUUUCUUGCAAGAAUUUUCAUAUAUGGGCAAAUGUUUUUUGUGUGGGAAAAAAAAGAAUUUAAUGAAGCAUUAUGGAAGUCGUUUUGCAUCAUGUAAGAGCAUAUAUUUAGGAGUAUAUUUUAAAAAUAAAAAUAACAAUAGAGUUUUUUUUGGGUGUUUUUGUGUUUUGGGGGGGGGGGGGGGGGAAGGGGUUGCUAAACUUUAUAGGUGCUUUCAUGUAUUUGAAUGGUGGAAAAUGGAAUCCUAGUUAAGCCAAAGGUUAUCCUGCAAAAUCAUUUUUUUUUUUGGUGUGGUUACACUAUGCAUUUUAAACAUUGCCAGAAAACUGAUUUGCGCAAUUUGGAAAACAAUCUAGAAUUAAAUUAAAGUUGCUUCUCAUUCUUGUGGCUAAAAGAGAGAGAGAGGGAGGAAGAUAAAAAAAAAAAAAAAAAAGACACAUCUAAAUAACUAUCAAUUAAUGCAACAAAGCAUACAAGACUUGAGAAUUUUCUCAAUACUCCAUAGAUGGAGUAGCUUUUAAGCAUGAUGUAAAACAUCCUUGACUCGAGGGUUCAAAAAAAUAUCUAGUACACCAUAAAAAGUAGGGUAGAGGUUUCUUGGUUUCCCACACAAGUGAAAAAGACACUAGAAAACAUAGAAUGUGGGGCUAUAAAGGCCACAGAAAAGUGGACUUAUCCCCCAGUAGUGAGGACCAUAUAGUAGCGCACUUUGACUCUUUGAGAGCAAGGGAAGAAGGAAACCAGAAGUUCAGAGAACUUGACCGACAGUCAUGGCUUCUGUGUCUUCCCCGGCAAUCUCUACUUCUACAAAUGUGUUUGAAUAUGGAAAUUUCGCCACUGAGUUGAUAAAAGUUGAACAAGGGCCCUGCUGGAGAAAAGCUGCUGAACAAACUUUACCUCCUCCAAAGCCACUCUUAAUUGGGACACCAUCAGAAGCUGGAGUGUUCCCUGUUCUGCUGUUCCUUCAUGGCUAUCUUUUUCUCAACUCUUUCUAUUCCGAGCUUGUUCAACAUAUUGCUUCUCAUGGAUUCAUCGUGGUUGCCCCACAGGUCAUUCAGUCUCAACUGUAUCUAGCUCGUCCCGUUUUACACUAAUUAGUGAAUGAUUAAAUGCUGAGUAUAGUGCUAUUUCACCCAUUUGUUCACAUUCAGAUUCCAAUUAAAUUUUGCAUUCAGAAUAUGCUUUAAACAUACUGUUGUAAGUGGUAACUUCGAAUCUGGCUGUUGGCACUUUGUAAUUCACAUCUUGCUCAUCAGAUAUAUGUAAAAUUGGCUUGCUCUGUGUCUGCCAUCUGCACAAAAAUGUGCCGGUCCAUUUGAUUGGCUGUACAGAUAUUUGGAAGUUGUUAUACGAACAAUUUUGCAUGUUUCUUGACCUGAUCUUUUUCAGGGAUAGGUAAAUAAUGAAAAAGAAUAUCAUUUUCCGAGGUAAGGCCAUGAGGUUUAAUGCCAUUUUCUCUUGCAUAUUCUUGUUCAGUGUGCUGUCCAUGAAUUCGGAUAUUCUUUUUUCUUUUUUGGGUCAACCUCAAUUUAAAAUUCUGUUCAGCUCAUGUUUUGAAUCCAGAACCUAUAAAGAUUACAGAAGUACAGGUUUUUAUUUUUCUUUUAAAAAAGGUGAUGCAGUCAAAGGAAACAUUAUUAAUGAGCUUUGUGAAGCUUUACAGAACUGUAAUAUCUGUUAGUACAGCUCAAUCUAGUAAUAUCUGGAUUGUUCUAGUAGUGGUUCAAAAUUCUUAGCACUUUAGGUCUGUUCUUAUAACUGUUGAAUGUUCAAGAUUGAACAAUAAAACUCCCUGUACUAAUCACAAAUGGCCCCAAUAUGAAAUUGCUGUUUGUUUGGCUGACAUUUUCCUGCAUCCACCUUGUUCCAGUUAUAUUGUGUGGCAGGACCUGAUUCAACCAAAGAAAUCGAGUCCGCUGCUGCAAUAACAAACUGGUUUUCAGAAGGACUACAGGCUUGCCUUCCAUCGCAUGUUAGGCCGAACUUAUCAAAGCUGGCGCUAUCCGGCCAUAGUCGCGGAGGCAAAGUGGCUUUUGCAGUGGCUCUGGGAAAGGCAAUCACUUCAUUAAAGUUCUCAGCGUUGGUAGGAGUUGAUCCUGUUGAUGGAAUGGACAAAGGGAAACAAACGCCCCCGCCAAUUCUCACUUACAUUCCUCAUUCCUUCAAUAUUGAUAUGGCUGUAUUAGUCAUCGGAUCAGGCUUAGGUGAAGUAAAAAGGAACCCGCUGUUUCCACCUUGUGCUCCAAAAGGAGUGAAUCAUGAGGACUUCUUCAAUGAAUGUCAAAAGCCGGCAUAUCACUUUGUUGCCAAGGACUAUGGCCAUGUUGAUAUGCUGAAUGAUGACACAACUGGGAUUCGAGGAAAGACCACAUAUUGUUUGUGUAAGAAUGGUGUAUCCAGAGAACCCAUGAGGAGAUUUGUUGCAGGAAUUAGUGUUGCAUUCUUGAGAGCUUAUUUGGAAGAAAAUUCCAACGACUUGGAGGCCAUUAAGGAUGGACACUUAGUAGCACCUGUGGUGCUUCAAAAAGCUGAUUUUCUAUUAUAAAUUGUGUGAUUUAGUUGCCUAAUAAAAGGAAUCAUCCCAUUUGUUAGCAGAAAUUUUACUAAAGAAUGGAGCAACAGCUUCAAAUCUAGUAUUCCUUUUGAUGGAUGGUGCCUACAUUACAUAUAUAUAAUAGCAACAAAAACAAAUGUUCUGUGUUACACUACACGAUGCUUAUUAUUUCUACUCUCUCUCUCUCUCUCUCUCUCUCUCUCUCGUGAUAGCUGUUUCCUUUUAUUGAGGAAAGAAAAUUUAUCCCUCAAAAAUAGAAAAAUCAUUUUAGGACAUUUCAAGAUGGCAAAAGCAUCAAACAACUCGCUGUCGGGCCUAUCAAAAGAAAGUAAUUCGGUCCAUCAGAAACCAACGCAAUAUUGGGCCGUCGCAAGAAUGCAUCCAAGAAAGAGAACACGGGCAAAAACAGGCUGAAGCCCAUAGCCUGUAUGCGUUUCAUAAUUUUCAUUUUUUCUCGACAUCUCUAUUCUCUCCCCGUUAUUUCUCCCGGCGGACACCGGACCGAGGUAUGCCCUCCCGACGAUCAUGAUCCUCCUUUUCUUUAUUAUAUUUUGGGUUCUUUUUAAUCUAUCAUGCUUUUGCAUGGCAUCUACUUUCGUUUAUUUUUUGUAAAUUGGCUGUGCUUAACUUGAUUGAUGUGGAAUCACUCGAACUGGAAAUAUGUUGGAUUGGAUUUCACUGUAAUUUGAUAGAAAAAGAAUCUACCUUUUAUUGCUGCUUAUCUUACGUUCGAUAAAAUGCCUCAAUUAUAAGAAAGAGUGUUGCUGGCUGACUAUUAUAGAGGCUUGGAGAUCACUCCAUGUGAUAUGUGUGUGUUACAAGCAGCGCACCGGCUAUUAUGGCUAGCUCUGGCCGGAGAAGAGGAAGAACCAGAAUCACAGCCGCAGCAUCCUGUUUAGUUGAAGAAGAUGACUUUUUAAAAUUGCAGUUUUAGUCCUCUAGCUUUUCCUUCUUUUCUGUUUUGACCUCUCCCCUUGUUUUUGUAGCCUAUUGAUUUGUCCCUAGUUGUUUGCUUGAAAAGUUUUCAAUUAUGUCUCUAGGUUUGUUAACUCAAUUAUUUAGUUUAGGUGGGUUUUCGAUUGGUCAAAUUAACUCAGAACUGGCUUUAAUUCGGUUGCUCACCCUUUUAGAACUCGUGUGAGCCCCAUGUGGUACAUAGGCAUACCGCAAUUUUGUUAUUUCUUUAGUUUAUUUGCUUUCUACUAUAUUGUUGUAGAAUGUGAUUUAGGUAUGUGCAAUUCAGUAAGUUUUCUGACAGAAAAGAAACUUCAAAGUAGAUGUUCAAUGACUUUAUGGUCACUGCAGCUGUUGCUGCAUGUCUUCAAUUGGAUAAUCUUGACCUAACUGCACAUUAAAAUGUUGAAAUUUACAGAUUUUCUUCUUCGAUUUGCAGAUAUAUAGCCUUUUUUACCACUAUUCAGUUUGAUUAGUGUCUUAAAGACCGAGGCAAUUGGAAGUGGAGCUCUUCAAUUUCAUCUGGUCAUGAAAAUGUAUGUUGCUAGUCAUCAAAUUUAGUUAUGAUUCUAAAUUUCGUUGUAGUCUUGAAACCGAAGUAAUCCUCUUGUUUGUCUUCUUUAUAGAUCUUUGAGACUUGUAGUUGAAAAACAUUCUGUUGUUAGAUUUCUUUGGGUGAUCUUGUUUGCUUAAGGUUAUGUGCUUUGCAGACUUCAAGAAUAUGCAGGUGCACUUACUAAUUUUGAAGUUCUUGACUUUCUAAGAUCAAGAGGUGCUGGUAAAGAUCCCACACGACUUAUUGCUGGCAUAGCACCAUCUGAAUACAAGGUUGGAGUGUUUAUCUCAUCUAAAAGUAUUUGAUGAUUUUCUCUCAUGGAAAGCUAACAUAAUUGAGAUUCUCAUAUGCUGAUCUUUUAAUGGCUUGCUGCAGGUAUAUGAUUAUCUUGAACAAACAGCAGCCUCAACACAAACAAGAGAUAUAGCAAUUGAGUUUGUACAGAAAUGCAAGGAAUAUAACCUUGCAAAAGCUGAGAUUCUCAACAUCCUCAACAUUCGGCCAUCUUGUGAGGCUGCCUUGUACCCGGUAACUUACAGCAAAAUGCUUAAAUUAAUAUUAUUGCUGAAUGAGUGUACCAUGAUACUAUAUUGAACAAUUUCCUCUGAUUCUUCAUGCGUUGUAUGUCCAAAGUACUUGCCUCCUUUGAAGCAUUUAAAUUUACAUUUGACAGAGCUUUAUAUGCUUUAUCUUUCAGUUGAAUGAUGUGAAUCCUUUAGUGGUUGGAACUGGGGCUCGGUUGAGAGAUGAAUCUGCUAAGUUUUGUAGAAGAGGCCAAAAUACCUUAUUUUUCUGUUACGUUGUUGUUUUAUGCAAGAAUUGAUCUUAACAUGAUUUCUUCUGCUAAGUUUUGUAGAAGAGGCCGAAAUACCUUAUUUUUCUGUUAUGUUGUUGUUUUAUGCAAGAAUUGAUCUUAACAUGAUUUCUUCUGAAUUUAAGUAGAAGCACGUUUUGCAGCUCCAGUUGGUGCCAUUAUUUUCUUUUCAAGCAGUUCUCAUGCAUAUGAUUUUAUAAGAUUUCUUCGGCAGAAUUAGCAUUCUCUUCUAUUUUUUUUUUUUUGGGGGGGGAGGGAGGGGGUUACAUUGGAGGGCCAAAGGCCCGUUAUCUAGAGACUAAUCUGGGGACUGAGACUGCUUGUACAUGUUGGCCUAAAAACUUCCUAAGAGUAUGUGGAGGUUCCCUGAGAGUAGUUAACCCCAGAGCUGGACUCCUACCCAUCUUAGCUAGACAAUGCGCACACUCGCAUUCUCUUCUACUCUCUAGCUGGAGGAGUUAUCAUUGCAGUAUUCAGUUAUUUCUUCUUCCUGUGAUCUUAUUUCACGUUUGGGGGAAAUAGAACUAUGGUAGAAUAUGCAUUUUACGGGGAGAUUUGUUUUCAACUUGCCUCGUCUUCCUUUCAGCAUUGACCUCUCUAAAUUCUUUCAGUUUUUUGGUUGAAUUCCUGGAAUUGUGGUUUAUGUGUUUGUUUCUUCUCCCCUACCAGCGUAGCAAAAUGUUUGUGUCAAGGAAGCUUAGGUUCACUUAGAUACUUCAGGAUGUAAUGCUUGACAAGACAUGAAGCAAGAGUUGAAUUAUCUUCCAAUCUUUUGGAACCAUGUGUUACUUCAAAGCACCUAACAGGAAGCUGAAAUCAUGUUGUUGCUCUUCGUUUUAUUUAUGCAAUUAUGUUGUUGGUCAUCUUUCCUUGCAUGACGUUGUUAUUCUAUAGCAUGCCUAAUUUUUCCUAAAUUUUAUUCUCAGUAACUCAGUGAAUUUUUUCAUUCCACUAUACGCAGAUCAUAGAGGAUUGGGACAUACGUUUUUCAGUUGAGGAAGGAAAAGAGGAGGAAGAACUAGGGUUGCUAAAGACAAUCUGUCAGGUUUUGCCGCCUCCUCCAAGUGUAAUGGAAUCUGAUGAAGGGAUUGGUGUGGAAGAAGAAGAUAAUCCAGAUGAGCAACAAAAGAAGGCUAUGGAAUAGAUGCUUCUUCAUAUAAUUAGAAUGUUAGCUAGGUGAACUCGGGAUUAGGAUCUUAUAUCUAUUUUAUGAAAUGGUUUUCACAGAUAAAAGAAAACCCAGAAAAGGGAUGACUACCUGGAAAGAGGAUGAUCCAACAAUUAUUCAUUCGCACGAACCAACCAACUUAUAUGUUUUUUGCUACAAACUUAUUAUUAGCUACUGAGCAAUCCAUUGCUAUGUGGACCUUGGUAAUGCGUCAAGUGUUUGGAUAUGUAAUUACUUGAAAUAAUAUUUUUACUUGCGGUACCAACACAAUUUGUAAGAAUCUUUUUAUUUUAAAUACAUCACAUCAUAAAAAGUGUUACAAUAAUUAUUUGAAAUAAUAUGCAAUCUAAGUGUAAAUUGUUACUCAGAGUAUUGAAAGUGAUAUUUGUGCUUCAAAUAUUAAUUUUUGAUCUCCAGCCUUUCAUUAGUGAAGGAGUAUGGAGUUUUGGAAGAUUAUUUUGGAGUGCAAAUAUAUCAUUUCUCCAUAAGAAAUUUCUACCCAAAUUUUAGAGAUAAGAUAACAAAGGAGAAAUUGAGUUGUUUUAAAAUAGAAUAAAUAGUUAAAAACCAUAUAACAUGGAAGAUCACAGCUUCUUUUACCGUACAAUCUCCUGACUUUAUUCUUAAUUGAACUUUUGUUUGAAUUCACUCGUUUUAUGAUGAGUUUGUCCAGCAGGUGCAGGUGCAGGUGCUGGUGCAGAAUAUGUUGCGGUUAAGAGGCUAAAUCAUCCCCACUUACUAUUUUCUAUGUUUAUGCGGUUGAUUCUUGGUUUAUAAGUCUUGCAUCGUGGUUGCAUUGGUUAUGGUCAAAGUUACUUAGGAAUUCAAGCUCAAGGGUGGUCUUGGGACAACAUUUGCUCCAUCUCCACCUUUUUAUCAAAGCCGUAAUCCCUAAAUUCUUGUGAAUUCUGAUGCUAAUCUUGACUAAUUUGUUUCGGAUUGCUGAGUAGUCAACAUUCUGCCCCCAAGUCCUUGUCCUGCAAUUCAGUAGACCUUUACCAGAGACGCUUAUUUUAUGCAGUGCUUUUGACAACCGUUUACAUCAACAGUUAUGCUUUACAUCUGUUAGGAUUGGAUGUUUUCCUAUGUUCCUCCACUCAGUCUUCUUGUGUAUUGUCAUUGUUGAUCAGUCCCUCGAGACAAUUACAAGUCUCUUUGUUUUAGCCAGUGUCCCUGUUCGUGCUGCAUCUAAACUGCUUAUCUCCCUCCCUGAAAAAUGGAAAACCCACAACAAUGCAUGCAUGGUCGCAUUAAAGGGAAUCUAAAUCCCUUGCAAUUUUGAACAACGUUAUGGAAUGAUUCUUUAUUUACGGUACUGUCUGAUCUUCAAUCCAAUAAUGAAGCUUUUGUCAAGGAAAGAAAAAGUUGGGGGCAGAAUAAUUGACAGAGUUGCACGAGGGGAGUGAUCUCUGUGUUGGUUAUGGCAAAUAGUCUGAGUUAAAAGCACAAGUUGCUUGUCCAGAUACUCCUUUGAGUCACAGGAAAUGCCAAACACUGCUGUCAAAUCAUACAUCACUUCAAAUCAUUUUGCCAUUCAUCUUUCUUUUCUUUUUAAGCAUUUGCAAAAGCUUCCCAUUUGCUAAAUUGAAAAGACUGAUGGGAAAUUUUUGUGCUUGUAGGAGCUGGGAAUGGGCAAAAAAACCGGGCUAGACCUCUAGGUUUCCUUACAAGAUUGAGGUUCAGCCUUCACCUCACACCUGCUCCUGCCAUUAUCAUCUGUCUCAUUUUUGUCUGAUCUCAUUCAUUCAGAUAAUAAAAUACUCCUCUGCUCAUCCAUGCUCAAUGGGAGUGAGUAGUUGAAAGUCUUCAGGAAGUGGUAAAUUAUGUCUAAUCUUGCAAAUGGAUGCAGUUGAAUUCCAUGCACCUCCAUCAAGUUGGUGCGUGAGAAAACAAAAUGGUCCCUCCAAACUGUCUUUUUUCUCAUGUUCUUAAGGACGCAGAGGAUUCUGGAUCUUUUUUGUAUGGUAGAGUCAACAGUUCACAAGCAUAUAAACAGCAGAAGGGAAAUUUAGGGAAUAGUCAUUUGGAUCUUUUCAGACACAACUUCUUGUGCAUGGAAUCUUGCAAUUGAUUGGAUGGUUCCAUUUGAGCGUUUUAUUUGAGAGCAUAAUCAAAUGAAAACUACUUGCUCAACAAAGUAAAAGGAUUUCAAGUUUUUGUUCGUCAAGAUUUUUAACAACUCCAAAAAAUGCUUACAAUUCGUCUCACUUUUGCAAUGUAUUUGUUGAUUUUUUUUUUUCAACGUGCCACACUUUACCAUACUGCAAUUCAGGUUACGUUUGGAUUAUGGGAUCUGAUGAUGGAUUUAAAAUCCUUACAAUACCUUCUUAAUUACAAAUCCAAAUACUUUUUAAAUAAGUCAAACAAGUUAGACUAAUUUGAAAGAACUUUGAAUCUGUCAUUAAAUCCCUCAAACAAAUUAAAACAGAUUUGAAAGGUUUUUGAAUCUUUCGUUGAAUCUUUCAAUCUAAACGCAGUCUGUAAAAUUAAUUAUUAACCUCUCCUAAACAAUAGUUCGCAACACUUCACCAAUCAAAAAGUAAUCAGAAUCACCAUAACCCAAACCUGUACAACGUAGAAUUACCAUAGCCCAAAUGUUACACCUUUACUAUGCUACUUCCAUCCCAUUACAAUGAAAGCGGUUUUCUUCAACAUUCAACGGGAGACAUUGUGGUAAUUUGAUGCCAAGACGGUCUGCAGAGUUGACUUGUGAUAGCAGUAAACUGAGUACCUUCUUUUCCAAUCUUUCACAGCAUUACUUUUCCGACCUCAAUGAAAUUCUGACAAGAUGAUGCUUUUGUAUAAUUUAAUGAAGCAAGAGGGACAGAAGUGGAAAAAAAGCACCAAAGUAAAACAAUCAGGUACAAUUAUACAAAUACUGCUGAUCCAAGCAUGCACCGUUCUGGCCGUGUAUAAUUGAAUGCACCGUAUCUUGCCACAGAGAAAGAAAGGGACGUCAGUAAAGAGAAGAAUAUCGUAUUGAAAAAUGUAAAGAUCUACAAAAAAAAAGAAACAAGAAUCGACUUGAAGCUUAAAAUGAAAUGGAUAUAAAUACACAGUUAGUUCAAAUUGCUAAGAUCCUGUGUAACCUAUAUAAAGGAAGAAAAGAAAAGAAAAGGAGAAUUAAGCCAUGCAAGGUCUUCUAUACAUUCUUAUUCAUAGGCACUCCCAAUAACUAGUCCUCUUAAUGAGAAUAUUUUUAGAAAUUGGAAUGGAUGCCAGCCUCGAAUUCUCCAAAGGCUUUUGUGAAACGAACACAUUCACAAACAUUUACAGGGACUGUCCCAUAAUGAAAUCCAUGUUCGUAUGAGAGAUAUUGGAGGGUCCAUACUCGAAUAAGAAAGGACCAUGAACUCCGUGACCUACCAUUGUACUCUAUAUAUGUUUUCAUGUCUCUGAAAGUUUUGAAAUGGAUUAAUCCCUGACAUUAGGAUAUAUGUUUUUAACCAUGUGAAGCUUGCUCAUUAUACAGGUUAAAGAGAAGUGUUUAAAAGUCAUUUCUAGUCACAAUUUCUUGAAACUUAUCAUGAUACAUGGACUCAAUGGAAGUGACUUUUAGGAUAUCUGGACUCCUAGGAAGUGAGGAUGGCUUUCCAAGUCCUUGGCCAGAAAAGGGUUUUCUUUUACCUCCCUCCUAUUUUGGGGCAGCCGAAACAAAAGGAAACCGAAGCGACCAUUCGAGUCCAGCACUGUUAGAAUGCAUUUAAUGAAGUCCUCAUUUUUGUUUGUUUUGCUGAAGACAGUAAUGCAUCACGAUCCAAAAUUCUAUGCUGCUAAAACAUUAUGCUGGCAUUAAACCAAAUUCACCUAUGUAUCAUACACAAUAAUUUCAGUAGUUAAACGCUAUAGUAUUAUACCAAAUUAUUUUAUGUAUCAUGUAUAAUGGUUUUUCUCACAAUAUUUUGAGAGAUCAAAUAAAGAGUGAAUAAGGAAAAUGAAUGUCAAUUAAAAGGGAUCAUUUUAGAAAGCUGUGUUGAGGUUUUUGACAAUUUCACUAGUUUUUCUUGAGGUUUUGAAAAUAUUACUUACGUCUUUUGUCAUCAAUUUGGUUUCCAAUGCUUAGUGGUGAAAUGACUAUACUAGUCUUACACACAUACGUGGAGAGAAACAAUCAAAAUGUUUGCUAGUUAAAUUAACCAUAAUUUGGAAUUUUAAAAAACAACUAGUUUGCUAUAUAAAAAGGAAACUAAUACUAUGUGCACGUUUUCUAUUAAUGUGUUUGACAGAUAAAAAGAAUCAUAUAUGAUGUAUCUGAUAAAUAAAUAAAAGGAUUCUAACAUGAAAAAUAACUGAGCCGUUAACAAACUAAAUAAAUUAACCAUGAUUUGAUUAUGUUAGACAUCAGAAAAAGGCUCCGACACUAGGCUAACUUUUUUAUAUACUUGACAAUUAAAAGGAAUUGGACAUGUGGAGAUUCCAAAUCCAUUGUUUCUUCUUAUUAGCAUGGUGAUAACAAGAGUCUUAAGGAAAGAAAAAGAAACUUUAAAAUUUGUUUUGCUAAAAUUUGAAAGGUAUUACUUUUUGGUUGCAAAUGAUGAAAGUUUUUGUUAAUAAUGUGUAACAGCAAUCCUGUAAUUACGUUGUUUGGAUUGCAGUUUUCCGUCAAAAAAUUAUGUUAUUUUCCGUGAUCACAUUUCGCAAUUAUCUUUUUCCCUCACAUACAUCAAAUCGCUACAGUAUUUUUUUCAUGAAAAAUCAUGAAAAAUGCAAUCCAAACACAAGUAGAUCAAAUAAUUAAAUUAACUAUUAUUAUAGGAGAUGGCCACUUUUAGAAUCAAGUAAUCUUCUUACACCUAAAAUCAUUUUUUGUGUUAUUGCUUUUUUCUUGAAUUGGGUAAAUUAUUACAAGGGUAUAAAUUUCGAGGGAGGUUAGUGAUAUUUUCAAACUUUCGAGGAUGGCAAUGGAACCGUCAAACUGAGGGAAUGUCUCUAAAACUAUUCCUAAUUAAAACCUUUUACAUCCAAUAUGUCCCAUGUUCAUUAACAUAUGUACCAUUAAUGAAAGACACACUGCCCACCUUAGAAACUCAAAAUACAAAAGGAAAAAGAAAAAACCCAUAGUGAGUUGAAGAAAAGAAAGGCUACGGACCAGAGAAAGAGAGAGAUCCUCUCGAGAGUCUCAACAGAAAUUACACAUUCCCAAAGUUCCCAGUGUCUCCUCCAGAGUCCAGACAAGAAAAGAGAGAAAAAUUAAUACUGUAGCGUGUAUUCCUAACUCCCAGGUGUAUUAAACACUACAAAAAGCCACAAAUAAAAAUGUGUACUAGACAGUAGCCGAAAAUGUUUAAAACAGAGAGUAUUGCUGACUAAUAUGCAGAUAGCCUUAAUACUUAAAACAAUUAUAAGUAUUUCCAAACCCCACAAGAGAAAAAGAAUAAAAUAUGUACAAAAGACCAAAAUAGUUACUAAAAAUUAUAUGAUGAUCUCUGAACAACGUUUGUUCUACAACUAAUGUUUUGCACUUUUACUGCCUUAAUAUACACUAUCAAAGUAGUAAAUGCCAAAUUAUAUAAGUAAUUAAGUUAAAAUUUAAAAAAAAAAUUGCUUGUCCUAAGGCAGGAAGAGCUUGUUCCCACAUUUGCACCGCCAAGCUUCCGGGUAGUACUCUAGUGGUCGACUCAAACCCGGUUGAAUCGGAACAUGAACCGGUUUACACGGUGCACAGCUUCCACACUUGGAUCUACAUGUAGGCGGCGAUGAUCCCGGUCCAGUCAGUCUUCUUCGAUACAAAACUCGCUUUAUUAACUCCAUCCCACCUGCCCUUUUCACCUCUGCUCUUAUCUCCUCCGUCAUUGCACCACCACCUACACAGACAAACCAACCGAGUUAACCAAAAUUCAGCUCCAAGAACCGGGCUCUUUUUAAAGGUGUGUGCGGGUACUUACUGAAUUGGCGGGCGUGGUUGAAAGUAAGAGCUGAAACUGAAGAAAGCAAGAGAAAGAGUAAUGCACUGAUGGUAGCGAAUGACAGCGAACGGUUGCAGUGGCGGUGGCGUAUUACGGCCAUGGCGGGGGUGGGUUUUUUUUGUGGGGGUUGGGGGGGGAGGGGGGGAAGGGACGGACUUGUUAAUGUUGUCUAGUAUGCAGGAGGAGGAGGUGGGGGUGGUUUGGGGGUUUAAGGAGGGAGGAGGAGAAGUAUGAAGUGCCAGUACUUAGUUGCCUGUGUAUAGCUAAAUUUGAGAACAGGGUUGUUGUUGUUGUUGUUGUUGGUUAUCUUGGCUUGUUGCGUGCAGCGGAGAAGAAAGGAAGAAAAACAGCACGAUUUUUUCUGGUCCAAGUCAAAGACACAAGACUACAUUAAAGGAUGAGAGAGAGAUAUAUUAUUGUGUCUAUUGUAUUCAUAGAGGACAUAUCCCUGUGGGGUUAAGUUCCCACAUCGCUUGGGGGGGUUUUGGGGGGUUUAGUAGUUAAGUGCUGCGGAGCACUUCAAAAGUUGCCGGCUUUUGAAGUGUCUUCGCAGAGUCCAUUUAUCGAAACACUCAUACAAAAAACUGUGAGUUAUGAAAGGGAAAAACCUGUCUCGGGGAGUCUGGGGGGUCUUUAUCUCUUAGCAGCGGGGCACCCUGUGGGGUUAAGUUCCCACAUCGCUUGGGGGGGUUUUGGGGGGUUUAGUAGUUAAGUGCUGCGGAGCACUUCAAAAGUUGCCGGCUUUUGAAGUGUCUUCGCAGAGUCCAUUUAUCGAAACACUCAUACAAAAAACUGUGAGUUAUGAAAGGGUAUUCAUAGAGGACAUAUGAAAGGAUGCACUUGUCUUAGUUGUCUAUCGCUGUUUAACCUAUCGGAGAUGUUGUAUUUUAUAUAUAUAUAUAUAUAUAUAUAUAUAUAUACACGUUUAUAAACUCCUUUGGGAGGUUUUGUAGAAAAUUGCACUCUUUUUUUUUUUGAGACCUGAUAUAUUUCAGUAAAAAGUUGAUUAGAAAAAUGCGUAAAAAGAAUAUUUUUCAAAAACUAAACAAAAUUUUUCCAAAAUUAAGGCUCUGUUUGGAUUGCUUGUUUCCGUCGGAAAAUAUUGUCAUUUUUCAUGAUCAUAUUUUCCUAUUACCUUUUUUUCUCACAUAUAUCAAAUCGCUACAGUAAUUUUUCCAUGAAAAAUGACGAAAAAUGCAAUCCAAACACAACCUAACAUUUUGAAACAAGCUCUUAAUAAUGUUUUUUUUGUUUGACUGAGUAUAUUCGUGGUAACUAAAUAUGUACUCAUUCCUUUUACUAUGAAUAUUGGUAACUUGGUGAAGUGGCUUGACUAAUGUUAGUAUUUUAUACCAUUUAAAGAAGACAAUUAUUGCAUUUUCGAUCGAAAAGCAACAAGGGUUUUGGUUCUUUCUUCUUGUCUUCUAACCUACUUUACCUAGGAUGCAGUAGUGCACUAGGAUAGACGAAAGUCAUAAAUUUGUAACAUCAAAAAAUGGUUACUCAUAUACUGUACACCAAAAAGUAAAAUGAUAUCUAGUGCUUUGGUUGCUUGCAUAAUUGAACGUAUUUUGCAGAAAUAAGAAGAUAAGCAACGCAGCUCAAAAAACGGAGUCCAUAAUAACCACUCGGCCGUAGCAUUUCAAUCCCCAAAAAGCUAUUCUAUAGUAACCAAGAUUUUCUUUUUUUGACUACUACUAUUGCGUAGUCAAUGCAGGUAGACUUUACCAAUCGAUAAUAAAUAGAAGAAUAGAUACAUGUAGAUUUAGCGUUAUUCAUUCGCGACAUGCAUUUCUUUUUACAACUAGUCCACGGCGGCCCUAACCUAGAGAGAACACAAUAGAUUUCCUAGUUUUUGUGCUACAAUAGGGCAUGCAAAGUCUCGGGUUUGUUUGGUCUAUUUCCUCUGAUGAAGAAAGAAAAGGUGUGAAGAGGGUCCCAAAAGAAAUAUAAGAUUGAUUGAUUGUUCUGCGUCUGCGGGCAUAGGACUGUCCUUGCGCCUGCACAACUAUUGUCUAGUGUCUCUGAGCCUUCCAUCUUCAUUUCAUUAAGGGGAACAAGAAAUUGAAAGAGAAUAGGAUAAUAGGUGAGAAUACGAGGAAUAAUUGAAUGUGGUAAAUUUUAGAUGUUAAAAGCAAAAAACAAAAAAGCGCAAGAAAUGUCACAAGUCUAUUAGGGGGUGCAGGGCAUUGGUAAAACCACUAACACUUGAAGACACAAAACUAAAGGAUCCUUCUAACUGGUGCCCAUUUAACAGAGUCAAAAUAGAAUUUAGCACUUUCUUUCGCCAAAAUGAGCUAUAUACUGAAAAGGCUCCUUCAUGGUGAAGUUGUAUGUGGUGGAUACUUGAAUACAUAAAACCUAUAUAUAUAUAUAUAUAUAUAUACACGCAUGAGGGGUGGUUGAAGGGGACUGUGGAGGGGGAGGACUGAGGAGUCGCCACUGGCAAAGGACGGCACUCGUGUGGUAGCGUAGGUGCGGGGGUAUGCCAUGGGAGGUGGCUGUCUUGUACGGGACCAACAUCUGAACACUGAGUGAACGGAAUGCUAAUAAUGAAAUAUUUACAUACCCAUCCCCCCAUUAUUGACUCUUUACCACCUGCUUUCCCAUUUCUCAUGUUACACAACAUAUAAUUGAGGACUCAAUCACAGGUCAAUUUGACGCAUUGUGGGCCUAUAUUUUGCCUAAUUGUGCAUGGUUGUCAUGUCAAAUAAAACACAGCUCCGUUUAAAUUAGCUGUUUUUUAGAAUAUUUUUGAAAUAUUUUACUGUAAUAAUAUAUAUAAAAAUUUUUAUUUUUUAGAUUUUUUGCAUUUUUGGUAUUUUUUGAGGUUAUUUUUUAUGUUUUUGGUGUUUUUAAAGUUAUUUUUUGUGUUUUUGAAAUUGCCUUUUUUUUUGGUAUUUUUGAGGUCAUUUUUAUUUGUAUAUUACUGUAACAUUAUAUAUGAAAAACUUAUUUUUCAAAAAAUGAUCAAUCCAAACAUAGCCACAGAUUUUUGGUGGGAGAAGGGAUCAUAAGUAACAAGUUCUGAUUUCAAAAUCUCUCACUAAUAUAAAAAAGGAUUUAAAAAAGAACCAAAUUUCUAGCAAUACCCAAAUAUUUUGGUGAUCCAAUAUGCCAAAGAGAGAAAGAGAGAGAGAGAGCACUUUAACUAGUAAGUUAUACUCCCUCCGUCCCAUUUUGAUAGUCUUGUUUUCCUUUUUUGUCUGCCCCAAAUUGUAAUCCACUUUCCCAUUAAGAAAUGUAGUAAUCUUUCAAAUUGUCUAAAAUACCCUUAUUAAAUAUCUUAUUAUUAAUACAUUGUUAUUAAAUACUAACCCACUACAUUGAAUACAUUGAGCUUUUCCAAUACUAAUCCAUUAGCUGUAACUGAUAUUAUUAAUUGGCACUCUUCGUGAUUAGCAUAAGGGUAUUUUAGGAAAUUAUUAAUCUAAAUUUAUGUUUCCAACCAAAUUAAUUACACUUUUUUAAUCUGUGUGAAAAAAAAAUCAAGACUAACAAAAUAGGACGGAGGGAGUAGUUUUUUUUCUCAAGGAAAAUAUGUAGGUGUAGUACGAAAUUAAUUUCAAAAAAAAUUAAGAAGAAAAACAUUAAAGAAUCAAGAAGAAAAGCAUUUAAGAUGCACAAACUCUAUCUAGUACUCCUACAUUAAUUGUUGCAUUAAAUGAAGGGGGGGGGAUGAUGGAUAAUGCGAGUGCGGGCCUACAAGCAGGGGUUUCGGUCAUUCGGCUCUGGAUUCAAGAGAAAAUAAAAAAGAGAGUGGCCUGCGCCUUCUGGGUUCAGUCAGGUUGAUGUUCAGAACUCAUUUAAGGCCGGGUCAGGAAAAGAAAGAGAGAGAAUUAGCCAUAUGGGCCGUGUGGGAUCCAUUUGUUGUUUGGAUCAGGAAAAUGGUUAAGGACUGCCAAACGUUAGAUAACCUACCAAAACCGAAAGUAACAGCUUCCAUUAAAUGCCGGCCCUUUCUACCAUACUUGUUCGUAAUUCGCACUCAGUAAAUUAUUUAUGGAACUUGAUCAGUCAAACUUUCACCACUAGAUGACCAAUAUGAUUUGUAAUUUUUGCAUCUAAAACAAAUACGUUCGAGUAUGAACUCAAACUUAAGCAAGUUAAAAUAGUUAUUGAAUCGAGCUCAGAUUUUGAGAAGGAAAAAUGGUCAAUUUAACCCUUAAACCAAUUUCAUCCUUCGAUUUUUUAUUUAGAUGUUUGUAGUCCUUCAACUUAAAUUUACUGGCCAAUUUCAUCCUUUCGUGGUGAUACUACUUUUUGACACAAAAAUCACCACCAAAUUAAGGGCAAUAUAGGAAUUACACAUUAAAGAUCAAAACAAAAAAUUAGAAAAUGCUAGGGAGUAAAGUUGAAAACAUUUCAUCUUCUUGAAUGAGCAGUUGCAUACUGAUUCUUAUUCUUGCCAAACUUCCAAAGACAAUAUGUCUUAAAAAAAAAACCUUCAUCAACAUUGUUUUUGUACAUCAUCAUAUGUCUUGUAAUUUUAGCCCCACAAUUAAGACUUAUUGGCAUAUAAAAUUUUCUUGAUAAACUCAAGAAAAGUAUUCAAAUUAGCAAAUAGAUUAGCUGUUUUCUAAACAUUCCCUUGUCGAUAGCUACCUCUUCAUCAUCAUUGCAUCAAAGUUUGGGAAACAGCUUCCUUAAAUCAUCAUUUGGGAAACAACAUUUUCACUUUGAUCUUUUGGCUUACAAUUCAAACUUUUUCUUCGACCUCUUUACAUUCUUACUCAUCCCCUCCUGUUGCAUAGCCCUUGUCAAUAUUUUUACUCCGACACCAAUAGUGGAUUUUGCUGGGGAAAUGAGACUUGACGAGUGGACUUGUAUUGGAGUUCCAAAAAAUAAAUGAAUUAGCAGCUUUGAGUUGGGUUUUGGGGAUUUGGGUUCGGAAUUUCAUUGAUGGGUUGGCUUUUGCAGUUUCACGGGCUUCGCUAACAGCCGGAGGUGGAGAAGAAGAACAAUUUGGUUUAUUGCACCUUUUGUUUUACUCCUCCAAUUAAUGGAGAAUUGGUUUUCUCCCCAAUGUAACAGAAAAUAUUUUUCAUUCAUUGUUUUAAAAACGAUUCCUAUUUUGUAAAUCCUAUAUUGCCUUGACUUGAUGGUGAUUUUUGUGUCGGAAAGAGUUUUACUGGCAGCGCCUCUGUAAAAGGAUGAAAUUGGCUACUAAUUUUAAGAUGAAGGAUGAAAUCGCCUUAAGUUAAAAAGUUGAAGAACUAAAUUGACAAUUUUCUCUUUUGAAACACUCAACAGACUCAAUGCACUGUUACGUGAUAGGUUUUUGGGACAGAAAAGCAGCGGAAAUAAUUAAAAAUUUUCCCAAAGACCCACUCAGGAUCACCCUAGAUUUUGCGCAUGGUUCACAAAGGAAAGGAAAAAUAGAUUAUCUUAAUCUGUGUGACGUUCCUCUGCCGAAUUGGAGAAGACGAAUAACCUCUUGAGCAAUCCAGAUGUCCUGCCUCUACCGAAAUUCACACGAGAGUGAUAUUUGGAUCGUCUCUACAAUAAUUGUGAGUUGUGACCACCAUCACAUUCGUAAGUAUUCUAAGGACUUUAUCAGUUAUAUCUAACAUUUAACAGAUAAAGAAAAUGUUAUUAAAAUACAAAACAUAAUAAGGAAUGUAUUAAACAGAAUCAUUGUUUUAGGGCAUACAUUCCAACAUUACGCAUGUAAGCUUGAAUUCGAUUUUGAAUCAUGCACCACUCAAAAUCCGGAACUGUGUUUUGGUUCCUUACAAUUAUUCUCUCUCUCUUUUUUUUUUUGGUCCAUCUCUUCUCUGGCAUGGGUGCAUUUUGGCUAAUUCUCUGUCAAAUCUUUCAUGCCAUAGACACAUUACAAUUAACUAACAUGCUGAUCCCAGAAGUAGCAACUCUGAUAUAAAAAAUUUGCUUGCCGGGGCCACGUAUGUUUAGGAAAGUUGCUAGAAUGAGCUGUCUACUGUCAACCCCAUCAGGCAAAAACAGAUGUCCUUUGCGUACGAUUUCCAUUGUCCGGUGAUUUUUGUUGUAUUCAUUGUUUUGACUUACAUGGUCAUUUUGCUCUUCUCUGCCGUCAAUAAAGAAUUAAGUAGAGUUUUCAGCCGUUCCGGUAAGUUGGUAACUCUUCAUUCUUUUAUUAGUACGAGUAGUACACAAGACGCAGCUACUUUGCUGUAGUUUUGGUCGUCUGCAGAAAUAGCAAUUCCAUGAAACCAUCCAAUUACUUGUCCACGAUCCAGAAGAGAAAAUGGGAAGCUUGGGAGGAGUUUGAAGUAUGGUUGUAUCAAUAUCAUGUGGCUCACGAGUACGGUGCCUUGACUGGAAAUAUAAUGCCAGCAAGAAAGGAUAUUUUUGUCCCAUCAUUUUUAGCUAGAAUUCCAGAGUAUUCAUAGCUGCCAUUUUAAUGAUCUGUUUCUAAGGAGAUGGACAGAGUAUAAGACAGAAAUCAGAACAAACAAGGAGGAGGAGGAGGAGGAGGAUAUUUAUCAGGACCAUAGGGACCAGUUAAAAUAAACCACACCACAAACACCAAAUGAAAAUCAAACCUCACACGUGGCACGAAAACCAAUGGGAAACCAAGAUUAUCACGAAAACUCCCCACACGAAUAUCAUCAUUUCAAACCUUCAGACUGCCAAUGUACGUAUUUCAGCAGCCACUGAACAGUUACUGACACCUCAAAUACCAUCGAAUUUAUCAUUGAACUGCUGUUGACUUUCGACGUAGUCUGCUAUUCAAUUCUCAUGGCAAUUGAGGUGUGCUUUCUAAAACAAGCCCGCAUAGUAAAAAUUCUUGAAUUCGUCAUACAAAUUUUAUUUCUUGAUACACAAGCUCUGUUGUGUCCGUGCAGGCUUGGUUUAUGGAUGAAAGUGGUGAGGAUCAAAGGCUCCCACAUAAGAGGGACCCUCCAGAGCAUGUCUCCUUGGAGCAUUUGGCUGAUCUUGGAGUAGUUUACUGGCAUUUGAACCCGGAGAAUUACGAGAACGAUGAAGAAUUGAAGAAGAUUAGAGAUAGCAGAGGCUACAGCUAUAUGGUCUGAUGAAUUUCUCUCUUUCUUCUGAAAUUUUUUUGGGGGAUUAGUUUAAUUUUUAAUUAGAAUACAGUAGUAGCUAGUGGUGGAUCGAGAACAUUUCUAAAGCUUUCAUGUCUCUGAAAUUCCAUUACUGAGAUAAUUACUACUCUUAAUUAGCAUCAUGGCAUGUUCAUCUUAUUGUGUAAUUUGAGAAUAGUUUAAUUUUUUUGUUUCAUUACCAAUUAACUUUUUAUGUAAAUUUCGAAGGGAUUCUAAAUUCUAGCUGUGCUCAUAAAUAUACACUUGCGAAAAGGUGCUACUUGACAAAAUUCUUUUUAUGUUAGUUGCAGAAUGAUCUGCUUAUAUAUGUAGUGUCAGUGUAAAAUCUCUUUUUGACUUUGCCUAUCGUGUGACAUCAACUACAACGUGGUACAAUAUCUCGUAGUAUUGUUUGAGGCUGAUAUUAUCAUAGGCCAAGCUUGCUGAUGGGUUAAAAUAUGCCAAACCUGAAUUUUGCAUUCCUGUUAUGAAGGAUUUGCUGGACUUGUGCCCUGAGAAAGUGGAGAACUAUGAACAGAAGCUGAAGAACUUCUAUACAGAGCACAUUCAUGGAGAUGAGGAGAUACGUUAUUGCUUAGAGGGUAGUGGUUACUUUGAUGUUAGAGACAAGGAUGAUCGUUGGAUUCGCAUCUGGAUCAAAGCCGGUGAUCUUAUUGUGUUACCAGCUGGAAUUUACCACCGGUUCACCCUUGACACCAGCAACUAUGUGAAGGUAAAAAUAUUGAUAUCAUGAGCCUCACUUCUGAUGGGACUAUGUCUAUACAUUGCUCAUAUUCUAUUCAUGAAUUAGUUGACACUUGACAGACCAAAUGUAAAACUAGAGAACUUCAUCUCGCUUUAUCAAUUUCUGGCCAAUUCAGGAUUUAAAGUAGCCAGCGGUGAAAGGGAUCAACUCAGGGCACCUCUAUUUAAAAGGAUAAAUCCCACCGAACUGAGUUUACCACUAGAAAUGAAAUGAAAUAGGUCAUAGAGUCCAGGAACCAGUUUGAUGAAGUUCGCUAGGCUUUUAUGCCAAAUCAUGAAGACUACAGUCCUCGACGGGCUUCCUGAAUGAUUCCUGACUCUUUGGUGCUGUGUUUUUCACUUGCAUUGCCUGCAGCUGAUGAGGUUGUUUGUGGGAGAGCCAGUUUGGACAGCCUUUAACCGGCCACAGGAGGAUCAUCCGGCUAGGAAGGAAUACGUGAAGAAUUUCACUGAGAAGGUGGGAGUGCCACUGGAAGCUCAUUGAUACAACCUCAUCAAAGAGGGGGCUGGGGACGUUUUCUUGUCUUUGGUAUUUUUUAACAAAUAUGGCGUUGCCUUAUCUUUUAAUACAACGGUGUAUGGUAUAAAUUAUGUUGGAACUGCGAGUAAAAAGUACUAAUAUAUGUAUUCUGCUGGCUGUUGACUCUUGCCUCUUUUGGCUGAAACGUAAUGAGCCGUGCAUCCUACUUUACAAAGAAUAGGACCCUUUUGGAGAUGAGAUGUUUGGUUGACGAAGAACUAGUGAGCUGCUUAAAGUGAAGGGAAAACAGGGCAAAAUUGAAUGAAGAAAAAGAAAACAAAGAAGAGGACACAGAAUUAGAGAACGCUCGGCCAUUCCCUCAAACCUAAGAAUAAGCAAUAAUUGCCGUUUCCAAUUGAGAUGAAUGGUUGGUCGGUUCAUUGUCUGACUUCAGGGAAUGUGGGCUGCUUUGUGUACUUGGACGGUGAUGAUGAGAUGGGCUAAAUUUGGACAAAUUGAAAGUUAGAUCAGGAAACUUUGCCAGCUGAUUGCUGGUUGACAUUUCUAUUCGAGCAGUGCCAGCCCACAGGCCCUGUACUCCGGUGUCCAUCAAACAGUAAUGUAGAAUCCAUAGCUAAACAUUCGGCAGCAAAAUGAAUUGUAUUCUCAUGGACAGGUCAAAGAAGGAAGGCAGUAUAGAAUUUUGGAUGAUAGAACAAUUGGUAGAUGGUUUGUCCACUUCUCUUUCAGAGAUUCAUCAACAAGAGCACUAAAGAAAUAUGGCUUCAAAGGCCGGUUGCAUGCAAACGUGUAAUGGUGGCUCUUUGAAUUUUGACAAAAGGAAAAAGACCAAGUGAAGGGAUGUAAAACGUUUUCUGGAAAACAUUUUUCGUAUUUUCUGCAUGUAAAGGAAUAUGUGGUCACAACGUGUAGAAAGCAAAGGUAGGGGUAAAAGAGGGGAAAAUAUUUCAAAAGUUAAACAAACACCAGAAAAUGAAGUUAGAAAAUAUUUUCAAUAGGUUAACCAAGAAAAUGAUGAAAAAGAAAUGAUUUUCCUGAAAAAUUACUUUCAUGAAAAAUAUUUUCCCCAUUAAAACAUUUUACUCCCAGCCAAACGGAUGUACCUACUGAAGAACUCUUUCAACAUUUUGAUCUGGAAUGGCUUUAGUGGCCAACUUGAUAAUGAAUACAAGGCUUUUUACUAGUUAAUAAUAGAUGAAAUCAAAUGAUCACGUAUAAUAUAUAUAUUCGUAUUGUUAAGUGAAAUCAAAUAGAUAUAUACAUAUGUUUUAAAAAAAAAAAUGUAUUCGUGCAUAUGAUUAGUAAGAGAUGAAAGAUUCAUUUUGUGAAAAUAUGAGGGACGAAAAGAUUCAUUUUGUGAAUAUAUGAAGGAUCAUGGAUCGAAUUAUGUGAAAUGUGAUUUUACAAUUUUGUCCAUAAAAAAUUAGCGCGUGUAAAGCGCGCACUGGAUUCCAGUAAAAUACUAGUCGGAAACCUAAAUCGAAAUCAAAUUUAUCUGAUAUGAAUUUGUAAGGGAUAUAAAAUUACACUUUUGAAAGUGAGGGACUAAAAAAAUCAUUUUACAAGACGCAAAGAAUGCAUUUUUCCGUUUUUCUUGGUUUACUCGAGGUUUGGUAGGGUAUGCUGGUGCCAACCAAGGACCAAAAUAUCCAAACUUCUCUAGCGUCUUCAUCUCUAGAACUUCUCUAGUAUCUUCUUUCGCUUCACGGGAGUGCGCUAGAAUUCAAAGGUCUGCAAAUGCUAUGAUAAACAAGUUGCCAAUAGAAUAUGAAUUUAACAACAGAAGAUUCAUGGUCUUCGAGAAUGUUGCACCGACUUAAGGCAUGCCUCUAUAAAUAAGCAGCUCAUAUUGCUGCCUAUCUCCACUCUGCAUUGAGAGUACCCCAGGACAGUAAUAAAGCAAACCAAUGCACUGUACUACCAUUUGUUGGUUGCAUAAGCAUUCUUUCAUGAUCUUUGGUAUUUUUGCCUUUUACUAUAAUGUUAAGUUGAAAUAAUUUUUUUUUGGGUUAUAUUUUUUGUGCUAUCUAAUCGGCUAUGAAAAUAGGGGAAAAAUAUUUUUAGAAAAUAGUGCAGUGCUUUUUUAUGUAAUGUAAUGUACCUGACAUAAAAAAGUUGCUGAGAAACGUGUGAUGAUGGAAACAAAAAUUUUGACAAAUAAUCUACAUUCAAAAAACAAACACAGUCGAACAGACAAAUAUAGUCAAUUUCGUAAUCCAGGCCACAACUAAUUGAGGCCAGAUGCAUGUCCAGAUUUUAGGAAAAAAAGAAAUUCUUUGAUUUCUGCAUUUGAGAAUACUAAAAUACCCCUUUAUCUGUCAAGUCUGCUUUAGAAAUUCAACUAAUCUGGUCAAAUUCCAUUCCAGAACGAGGGCAUUACCGUAAUUUAAGUUUCAAAGUCAAGGAGGGUACGAUGUUUAUAAAUUCGGCGUGGUUCCGAAGCUCAGACGCGGAAAAUUCCAUUCAGACCUGAGAAUAAAGAGCUGACCUGUGGACAGAAAAAAAAAAAAAGCAAAAAAUGGGUUCUCUUACAAAGGUAUGAUAUCCCGCUGACUUUAUUUUCUCUGUGUUUCCCUGAAUUUCUCAUACUGCUAUAUCCGAAUUGCAUGCGGAAGAUUUUGGUUUGGAUGAGAAAUCCGUUAUCGUGAAAUUGCGUAAUUUUUUUCAGUUUAUUUUGGAUGAUAUGCUUAGGUGCAUCUGUGUGCGAGUUUUUGUUGUGUUAUAAUACAGAUUGAAAUAGCUUGCAUUUAUGAUUGUGAUUCUUAAGAGAAUUGAUAUUUAAUUGAGGGAAAGACUACAUAUUGUUGAUAGAUGGAUAUCAAAGACUGCAGGAAGAAGAUGAAGGAAAUAAGAAUGGUUCUGCUUUUUUCUUUUUCUGGAAGAAAAUAAAGCUGAUUAUUUUGCUUUUGUGAAGAUUGAAUUUAGAGGAGAAGUUUGGUGGCUUUGGAUUAUGUGGGCAUUCAAUGGUGUGUUCUUUUACCAGUUGAUCUUGGCUUUUGAGGGAUUGGAAGUUUUACUUUUAGGUUUUUUCGAUCUAGGUAUGGUGUUCCCAAUGGGAUAAUUGUCGGGGAUAUAACUAGUUUACUAUUCUUUUGCAUCCAAACUAUGAUUUGGAACUGGAACUAGUGCAGAAACUAUUACCUCCUCAAACUGUCGGGUCUGUUUUGGCCUCUUUCUUGGAUUUCACAGGACUUACUGGUGAUAUAGGUGCAAUUAGAGGGAUUAGUUGCAGUUUCUGUAAAUGGAUUUUGGCAUUUGUGUAUCUUGCUUUCUGUAUUUUCUGUUGAAUAGUUACUAUCUCACAUCUAUGUGUGUGGACUAAAUUUGUGACUAGGCUUUAUCCUAAUUUGAAUAACUAGGGAACACAUCAUAAGCUACACUGUGGAAUACAUAAUCUUAUGUUAUCUGGUGUUCCAGUUGGGAAAAGAAGUUCUUAAAUCGUCUUGCUUCAUGUACAUAGCUAAAAGAGGAGAGGCAUUUCAGUACUAUGUUUGCUUCAUGAGUGCGAUUGUACUAUGUUUGCUUCAUGAGUGCAAUUGACCCAUUGAAAUUUCUGUGUCGUUUAGUUCCUGAUUCCCGUUGAGAAAGGUGUGUUUCUUGACGGGAAAAUAUUAGAUCAUUUCAUCUAUUUUUUGUAUUGUAGGAUGACAGGGAGGAAGUGAUACAGGCAUGGUAUAUGGAUGACAGCGAUGAGGACCAGAGACUUCCCCACCACCGUGAGCCUAAGGAGUUUGUCUCUCUGGAUAAACUUGCAGGUAUAUACAUUGGAUACUAGCCAGGAUUAUUCUCAAUCUAUGAAGGGCUUCUGUUGGAACAAAGCUAGUUAUUGACUGUCCUUUUUUUUUUUUCUGUUAUUGACAAUAUACAAGCGUCCUGGUUCUUGAUAAAAUUUGUUACACAUUCACAUUAUGCCUGUAGUGAAGUUAAUUGUCUGUGCAAGACCAUUUGAAUUAUUCGUGAAUUGCUUUCUCUCUGUCUAGCCUCUAAUUAAACGUGUCUUGAGUGUCGUCUUUUGCUUUUUUCUCUCUGUUGAGCCUCUGAACUUAUUUAAACGCAUAUUGAGUUACCUUGUCUUAUUCUCUGAUCCAGUGUUCUCAAUUUUCCAGAACUCGGAGUACUCAGCUGGCGAUUGGAUGCUGAUAAGUAUGAAAAUGAUGAAGAGUUGAAGAAAAUCCGUGACGCCCGUGGAUAUUCAUACAUGGUAUGAAGAAGCGUCAAUCAAAGUGGCAUAAAUUUAUUAUCUUUGUCAGUUGAACUUUGUCUUGACUGGUAAGUUGAGUAUAAUGGGAUCCAAACACCUUUUCAGGACUUCUGCGAGGUUUGCCCUGAGAAAUUACCCAAUUAUGAGGAGAAGAUCAAAAACUUCUUUGAAGAACAUCUUCACACUGAUGAGGAGAUCCGCUACUGCGUUGCAGGGAGUGGUAUGUUAAUGAACAGUAAUUUGACUCUGUUAUCUUACUUUCUCAAACUGGUCUAUGGCCUUAAAUUUUUGUCUGGUGAAGGUUACUUUGAUGCUCGGGAUCGUAAUGAUGAAUGGAUCCGCAUCUGGGUAAAGAAAGGAGCCAUGAUUGUCCUUCCAGCUGGGAUUUAUCACCGCUUUACUCUUGAUUCUGACAACUACAUCAAGGUACUUGUGUGCAAUGCAAAUAAGCCUGUGUUAGACAAAAAGUACAAUGUUGUACAACUGUUCUUGUUUUUCAUUUGGGCCUGAGUAUGGAUUGGUUGCUCAAUUGAUGUGUGUUGUUCAUUAUUAUUAUUUAGUUUUUCUGUGAUCAAAUCAUAUAACCACAUUGUUUGGUUAUUAUGGAAACGAUUCAUGGAAAUUAUUUCUUAAUUAAAUCACAUUGUUGUUGUUUUGUAGGCAAUGCGGCUUUUUGUUGGUGAUCCGGUUUGGACACCCUUUAAUCGCCCGCAUGACCAUCUGCCUGCAAGGUAUGUCUUCUACUUAGCUUGAAGCUCUUUGCUUCUCCACAUAUUUAUUGUUGCCAUUGUCCGAACUCAAAGAAAUCUAAAUAGUAAAUAUAACCUGGAAAAUAAAAGUGGAAAGUUAUGGCCUGUUAUUCUAAGAAGGGGGUCAUUGUGUGCAGGAAAGCAUAUGUUGAAACAUUUGGGCAGAAGGAAGGUGCAGGUCAGGCAGUUGACGCUGCAGCUUAAAAACGCAUCUACAGUAUGACAAGUGAAGCUUAUUAUAAUAGCUACCAAAUAAAUUGGAUUGAAUGAUACUUCCUGCUGGCUUGUUGCUUUGCUUUUAAUUGUCUGUAAUCGUUUAAGAUGAUGUUGUAUAAGAAAAGAUGGAAAACUGUGUUGUGCUUGCCUGCUUUAUCAGCCCCUCUUAAAUGGUGUGUUCUUUUGUUGUGUAUAUGCGAGUUGCAAUGGUGGAUUCUAUAUUUGGUAAAACUGACUAUAUAUAUAAUAUGCUUCCUGCCCUUUUCCACCCUGUUACAACUUCUGAAUUGAUGUUAGGAGAUCAUGCAUGUUUUGUCUGUGAUCUUUUGUUCUACAUCCAUCCGGAAACCCAUAUAAAGUAUGCCCUUUUUUUGCCCUUUUGUUGUUCGUAUUAGUUUAAUAUAUUAGUGUCCUAUUUAAUAAGCUGGAACUGUGUUUGAAACGGCUGGAUGUGGUAACACGUGUAUUGAGAUGGUGAUGUAGGUGGGUCAGAUACUUCCUACGACUAGUAUUUGGUAGGCAACCGAUAUCGAUAUCAUUGGGUGGGCUGUGCCACUCUUUGGAUCAUACAGCAGACUAGUGAUAUACUUGCAGAUGUUUGCGACCGGCAGGGAAGGCCUCAUAUUAUUAGCAAUAAUAAACCACUGUCUUUGGCACGGGCUACUACCCAAUUACAAUCAUCUAACCCUCUUGUCUUGUCUUUUGCCGUUUGUCUUGGUAGAAAAUCAGAAAUGUAGACUUGGACCAAGUAACUUUUCGUGGAUUUUGUCACUCUUUAUUAACCAAAACGAAGAGAAUGGGUAAGGAGUUACAAAAUCUGCCCGCUUUAGUCUAAUGGCUAAAAUUGAGAUUUUAAAACUUAAAAAGAGAUAUUGGCUUUUAAUCGUUCUUUCUUUUCUUCGCUCCUUAAUUAUUACUACUCUUACAUUUUAAAAAAGAGGAUUUACAAAAUCCGGGCUCACCUAGAAAAAAAACAUUUGUUAGGUAAUUAUGAGGUUUCUGAUUACAUGGAAAUAUGAUUUUAAGUGUUAAUGGCGUUUCAUGUUGGCUAACAAAUUGUUUCCUCGAAACUUCCUUUAGCCCCCCCCCCCCAAAAAAAAUUUAAUGUAGCCUAAGGACCGUGUGUAAAACUAAAAGGAUUGUUGUUUUGGGCUGCAUAAUCAAAAUCCAAAUUGGCUAGAGCUGCCUAAAAUUUCUUUUUACGUGUUUGAAUGUUUUGAGUAUGUGACAUUAUUGGUAUUAGAAUACCUUGACUGUGCAUGUGUUGCUUCCAUAGUCUUAAAACAUGCUUUGAAUAAUGAUGUCUGAGUUGAUUAUUAACUAUUAUUUAAUCAUCUAGUAAGAUCUGGAUGUUCCAUUAGAGCCUUGAAUACGUCAAGGAUUGUGGACCCCAUCAUUAAGGAUUUAUAGUGUCAUCAUUAGGAUCUUGAUUAAUGAUUAAAAUACCUAAUAUUAUUUAAGGUAAGCAGAUCCAUGGCAUCAAAGAUAUUUUCCAUGGAAAGCUUGUUGGCAAUAUGACCAAACUAACCGACCUUACUUUUUUCAGCGUACGAAGUACUGCUGCUUACUUAACUGAAGUCCGCGUAUUUAGUAGGUGAGGACUAUUUUAACAUUGCUUGACUCAUUUUCCAUCUUUUUUUUUUUUUUUGUCAAUCAUCAUUUCUAUUCUUACUCUAUCAUAAUCUAACUAGAGGGGGAGGCACAACUGAAUUUACGGGACAUCGAUGGGGACAGAACCAUCAUCGAAUCAAACGGAUAUGCUAUGCACCCGUUUGAAAUUUUUUUUUUUUGAAGAACUGCACGUGGCAAUUGGUUAGAGGCAUGGUUCGAAUCCUUGCCUCCUACCUCACCGAACCCUUGGUUUUCCAUCUUUUGUUGCUUGCUCAUUUUUUUUCCCUUUCCUGACCUAGAUAUUUUUUUUUUUGAAGAAUCACAAAUGUGACAAAUUGAUUGGAGUCAUGGUUCGAACUCUUGCCUCCCAUCCCACCGGACCCUUGGUUUUCCAUCUUUUGUUGCUUGCCCCUUUUUUUUUCCCAUUCCCGACCCAAUAAUAUCUAAUUUAUUCCUGCUCUACAAUCAUAUUAUUUUCUUUCCCGUCAUUGUUGUUUACAGUUUAUACUAUGAAUUAUAAACAAUCGAAUUCCCUUUUUUGUUAAUAAAAAAAAAACAGUUGCAUUCUGGUCCCAUUUGAAAAUUAAAUUGCACAAAAGAGGGGGAAGAAACGAGAUGUCGGGAUUCUACUCCAUUACCUGCCAUGUCUCUAUCUCCGUCUUUCGUGUAAGUUCUAGACAUUUAGCGAAUUCCUUUUAAUAUUAUUUUACUCCAACACUUGUUGUAAUGCCAUAGAAGCACAUUGGUGGACCAACUCAUAAGGGCUUUGCUAAAUAAUUCACGAAAUUUAUCAUGAAGGUUUUAGUUUAGGAUUAAUUUUAUAUAUAUUGUUAAUAUAUGCAUUAUCAUUAUUAGAUAUAUGAUACAUGUAUAAAAUUUAAAUUUAAAACUCAAAAGUUAUAUAAUUUAUCUAAUCGUGAUAGUGUAUAUAUUGAAUUGUGAAUUAUGUUAGUUGUAUGGAAAUCUGUCAUGUAUAAAUUCUUACUGAUAUUUAAGAUAGAAACAAGUAAUUGAUAAUGCUUCUCUUGGAGGGCAGAUUUGAUUGUUGAAUGUUGAGGAAAAAAGAAUUGUAAUCAAAUCUUUUCACGGAAAUGAGAAUGCUCGUUCAAUUAUAAUAAUGAUCCCCAAUACAAAGGGCACAAAAGAAAGGGAAGUUUUCGUUUCGAGGAUACCACAUUGCAACACAUGUACAACUCACAGGAUAAACUAUCAACUUCUUCUACAUUUCUAAAGCUGAAUUGCUAAUCAGAUCUGAACCGGUGGCCGUGGUCAUUUGGCCAACGAGAUUGGAUUGGGGAAAAUUUAGGUUAAAAACGUGUCUUUUCAUAUGCAAUUCUCGUGUCUUAUUCAUAAUAUGCAAUUCUGUACUCUGAUUUGGUAUAUUGGAAGGACGAUUCCCCUCCAACACGUGGAAACACGUACAGAAAAACUUUCCUUAAACAAAAGAGUAGCAGCAGCAAUGGAUUUACCAGUCAAACUUGUAAAAGUCCAAGGCCCUCCCAAAAGAAGAAAGGGCACUGGGAGGUGUGGGGACUUGAAAAUAUCUCAACACCAUUUUAUUCUUGUUUAUGCAUCAUGUAGACUUUCCACCCGUCCAAAGCUAACAAAAGUGGUGAAUAGUGCUAAAAAGCAAUAAAAUAAAAUGACCUUUCUUUUAUUCCUAAUAGUAACUGCUACUAUGAACCAAUAAUGACCUAAUAAGAUGAAAGGACCCUUCUUUAUAUCAGCCCUAUGACAAUGAAAUAAAACUUUGCACCCAGCAUUCACGUCUUCUACCCUAUUGUUUUCCUCCACCCCGUUUCUUUGCUUCCGUUGAAGCAUGGUCUCCAAAGCUUGUCUUCUCCAACUCUCUUGGACUUCCUCAUUGUUGCCUCCUUGAUUUGCAGUUAACCUCCCAAUCUUCUCCUUAACUUGCACGUAAAUUAUCUUCCAAAACCCAUUUUCUCUCUUUAAUAUUCUUUUUUCUUCUUUCUUGCUACUACUAUUUUUCAUUUUCUUUUCUUCCUUCUCUCUUGAGGAGGAGGAGCUCAGUAUUAGGAAAACAGCUAAAGAUCUCUGCCCUUGAAAAGGAACAUCGUAUUACCAAGUAGUUACUGUUUAGGGGUAGUAUUUGUUUGUGACUUGCUUCAACUACUGCUCUCAAGUCAAAUCUACCAAACCAUCCAUCUAUAGUUAAAAACAAGGCUGACCCUGGUAUGUUUUGGUGUCGUUAGCUAAUCCCAGAAAGGGUUUCCUUUUUUGGUCUGGUCAGUGGAAUCCAGGUAUGAAUCCUUUAGGUUCAUCAGUGAAGGAGGAGUUUCCUGCUGGAUCUAGUUCAUGGUAUUCAGAUGAGACUUUUUCUUCGGCCACUCCUCAGCCAAUGGAGGGGCUUCGCGAGUCUGGUCCUCCACCAUUUCUCACUAAGACUUAUGACCUUGUGGAUGAUCCAAGCACCGAUCAUAUUGUCUGUUGGAGUAAAGGUAACAACAGUUUUAUUGUUUGGGAUCCACAGACAUUUGCUAUGAACCUUCUUCCUAGGUACUUCAAGCAUAACAAUUUCUCAAGCUUUGUCAGGCAGCUCAACACUUAUGUGAGUCUUCUCUUAAUUACAAGCUGAAGGAUUUUCUCUCAUUUUUGACUUGUCUACAAUGUGUUCUUAAAUUAUGAAGUUAGAUACAUAGAUUUGCUCAAGAUAUUUUAUUUACUUCCCUUAUUUAUUCGUGUUCAUUAGGCAUCUUAGUUUGAAAUGCUGUAAUCUUGGGCUUCAAUUUCAAGAUUUGUGGUAUAAAUUGCACCUCUAAUAGUUUCACCUUUUAAUGCUUGCAAUCUUCCUCAAUGUAUUCCUUUUGUUUGCGCAAUGGCUUUAAGGAGUAGUAGUAGUAGGCUAAAUUAUAUGCGGAAAUCAUAAGUAACAUGUUCUACUAAUCACUCUUCAUUUGUAACAUGUAAAUAUUGUCAUUGAGUAACGCUUCAAAUUUUAUUUGGUUUUCUGUACAAUAAUCCCAAGAUAUUAAAUUAAGUUUAUGGCCUUUAUUUCUUAUAUGGUUCUCAAAGUACUGUAACGACAGGUACAUGUUUCCCUAUGGUUAUAUAAUGUGAAAGACUGGUAGUACUUUCGAUUGUGCAGGGUUUUAGAAAGGUUGAUGCAGAAAAAUGGGAGUUUGCUAAUGAAGGGUUCUUAAGGGGGCAAAGGCAUCUUUUGAGAAAUGUUAGGCGAAGAAAGACACCUCCCCAUCUACAAUCUUCCAACCCAAAUUUAGAGUCUUGUCUUGAAGUGGGAAGGUUUGGAUUAGAUGUUGAAGUUGAUCGGUUGAGGCGUGACAAGCAGGUGCUAAUGCUGGAACUAGUAAGGCUUAGACAGCAACAACAGAAUACUAAAGCCUACCUUAAAACAAUGGAGCAAAGACUACGAGGAACUGAGAAUAAACAGCAGCAGAUGAUGACAUUCUUGGCUAGAGCAAUUCAGAAUCCUAGAAUCCUUGAGCAGUUAGUCCAACAGAAGGACAAAAGGAAAGAACUUGAGGAAGCAAUUGGCAACAAAAGGAGGAGGCCAAUCGAUAAAGGUCCUAGCUUUAGUGUUGGUGUAGGAGAAUUUGGUCAAGAAGGGGAAGAAGUUAACGAUUAUGUCAAACUAGAAUGUCAGGAUUAUGGUCAUGACCUGACUGGACUUACAGAUUUUGAGCUGAACACACUUGCAAUAAACAUGCAAGAGCCAACUCCACCUCCGAUGAAUUUGGAGGAAGAGUAUGUUGGAAAGGAUGACGACUCAUUUGAUGAUGGAUUUUGGGAUGGAUUGAUUCAUGAGGGCAUUGAAAAUGACAUAGGUUUGCGUGGUGGUGAAGGAGAAGAUCUAGAAGAUUUGGAUUUGUUAACCGAUCAGCUUGGUUUUCUGGGUUCUAAUCCACCGUAAAAGCCUCCCUCAACCUAAAUCUGUUUGGUGGUCGCUGAUCCCGACUUACUUGGGAUGCAAUACUUUUGUGGAAAAGCAAACUCACAGUUCAGCUGGUGUAUGGAUUAAGGCAUUUAACUUGUGAAGGUUAUGAAGUUAUUUAUUCAGCAUUGGAAUUCUUCCAGAAAUCUGACAAUCUUGGAGCUUCAGUAAUUUAUUGCAACAAUUUGUUUAGCUUCUGUAAUUUAUUGCAACACUAUGUUUCAUAUCUGCUUUUGGAUUCCUUCUUGGCUGUAUUGCACUGCUUCUGGGAAUAGUACUUGUAGGGAGGUCUUUAAGCUGAACGUUGCCGUGUUGAACAAUGUUAAAAACUUGUAUGCUUCAGUAAUUUCUUUACAUGAUCACAAUUCAUGUAGCUAAAAAGAAGGGAAGCUGGAGUGUCCGGUGAGACUGGGAAAAUACUUAGUGGGUGUUUGGACAGCCAUUUUUCACCAAAAAAUUGCUACGUUUUUUCGUGAACACAUUUCCUAUAACCUUUUUAUCUCAUAUAUAUUGAUAUCGCUACAGUAAUUUUUCUACAAAAAAAUGCAAUCCAAACUCUGGUACAUUGUUUGUAUUGUGAUUUUAUCUGUUGAUUGGAUUUAGAUAUUCCAGUAGAUGAUUGUGCAUAUAUAGAUGUUUCGCCAUAAACCAUUAGAUUUGAUUAUCCAUAAUCCACACGUCUUAAUUAGAUUUUCCAAAGAAAGAACAUAAUAUUUAAGUGUUCCUAUACCGUUAGGUGUCUUAUCAGAUACGUCCCAAAGAUCAUCUAGGAAUAUGGUGUUUUUAACUCGUAGGGACAAAUUUGUGUUGCAAGAUGAGAGGGUCUAUGGAAAUGUUUAUUGAUACCUUGCAAAAAGUUUUAUGGUAAAUUAUUUUUUUUCUGUAAUGCAAUUGACUUUUGAAAAACAUUUUGAUGUAAGUCACAAUUUUCAAAUGCCAAAUUAACCUUUUAAUUGUAAUUUGGUGGAUGGAUGUUAAUUACCAUUAAUGAUGAUCAUCACUCCAUCAGUGGACUAAUAAAGGUGACAAUAUGAAAAGAUGGGAAGGAAGACAGAAUAUUGUAAUUGAGUCUUUAAUCCAACUUGAAAAAUGUUGGUUGGCUCUAAAGUUGUUAGCCAUUUAUGUUGUGUUUGUUUGCCACAAACUAGCCAGGGAUUCUUUAGUAUCACUAUUCUUGUUUCAUGUCUUCUCAAGUUCUCAAUACUCGUUUGCUUUAGCAAAUAGUCCCACUAGGCAGCGGAAUCGGAAUUAGUAGUUUAAGAUCCAUUCAAACCGUCUAAAAAAACACUUGCUACCUAAACUUAUCUGACUAAUUUAGAGUUCACUAUCACAAGAAAAAAUCAACACAAGCAGCUCCAAUGAUAAACUAACAAUUCAUUGUUCUAUUUCAUUUCAUUAGUAAUCCAUAUUUCAUAGCUAAUCUAAGUUCAAGACUAAUCCAACCUAGUUAACAAUGAGGUAUUUUUUUUAAUAGUAUUUGCAUCAUAUUUUCCUUCUCCUCGCACGUGAUAUUCUCUUAGAAUCAAUUUUAUAACAAUAAAUGCUUAAAUAUAACUAAAAGAAAUGAAACCAAAAUCGGAAUCAAUUACUUAAACUUUAAUCGGAUUCAUAUCGGAGAUUCAAAAAUCGUAACCAUAAUUGUAACAGUUCCUAUAAGGGUUGGUUGAGAUUCUAUCUUUCAGAAGAACUGAAACCGUUGGUUGUUAAAUUUGAACCAGUGAUUCUGAAGUCGCGAUCAUGUUCAGUUCACAUUGAUGCAGCAAAAGAUGGGCGCAAGUUUAGUGAGUAUGAUUAUGCACGUACCUGACUUAAAGAAAGGAAGUUCUUGGUGACAGAUCAGGUCAGAUAGUGCUCCAUAAUUCUCUAUUUAGGGAGGUCACUUCCUUCUGAAGCUAUUAAUAUUAGUCUUAAUGAUGCAUCAACGUUGGCACUGGAGUAGCAGUCUGGGAAUUGAAUUGGUUCACACAUAACAAAGGACGUUGCCUUGUUUGUCUGUCUGGAUUGGGCAUGGGUGCAUGAACAAAAGCAAAGUUACUUCCCCCUGGCAAUGGCGUAUGUAAAGAUUACGCCGACUUUUUGCCUUCCUAUCUUGCUGCAUUUUGAAAAAUAAGAAUUCUUCAUACUGUUUUGUUCUUUAUUGUGAGCUUUUAGCCCUGGCUUUUGUUCUGAUAAUGAUUCUACUUAAUGGGUCUCUCAAAUGUGUCAGAUAUUCCUGAACAAUAUACAAACAUAAGGUCUGUUUGGUUAGCACGAUUUGCCAAAAAAAAUAUUAUUAAUUUUGAACUACAUUUUUUCAUCUUGUAUACAUUACGCCAUAAAAGUGUUAUAGUGUUAUUUUAAAUAAAUUUUUUUUUCAAAUAAUCUCUUAUCCAAAUAUACGUGAUUGUUGCUAAACACUUGUGCUUAGGUUAUACAUAAAUAAUAUCGAUCCACUAAAUGGAUGUUAAAUCCUGGCCGGUCGAAUUGCCCAACUCGAUGUGAUUUUAGAAAUUGCACAAAUGGAUGGGGUAUAGAAUUAGUUCCGUGGAUGCCAAUCGAUGCUAUACAUACAACUAGGAGGAGAACACCGCGACGAUGCGCGGUGUAAUUUUCAGGCUUGCCCAGAAACAUCCUGUUAUUCAAAUUAAAAUAUUAAUUAUAAAAAGUAAAAUCUUUGCAACGUUUUAAUAAACCAUCAAAAAGUCAGAAAAUUUGAUUUAUUGAUGUCCUUGAUGUCCUUCAAGGAUCAUCAUCAUUACAAAGAACUAAAAAAUAGCUAUAUUACCGGUGGGAAUAAUGUAAAUUACCUAGCAACAAGCACUCCUACCAAACCUGUGUGAAUUCAAUUUUCAUAAAUAUCUCCAUUUUUUGUUUAAACAAUUUUGCUAGAUGGGAUUCCAGUAGCUGGCUCGUGGCCCUUUGAGUAUUUGACCGGUUCAUUCUGUCGUCUCUCAAAGGAUUGCUGCGAGAAGUGGUGGUGCUCCCGUUACUGUCUGUACGACGAUGUUUACGGCUAAGUUCUGGAGGUAAAAUCUGCUUUACUUCGCCUCUUAUGGCUUCGAACUAAAAGCAAGAUUAAUGAAGAAAGUAAGUUCCUUGAUUAUCAAAAUGUCAACGAAAGAAUGAGAUGAAGAAAGUUAAUAACUUUCUCAAACUUGAACUUUUGUGCUAAACACACACUCACGCACACGCACUCUGACAGCUCCAACAUCUUAUAUUCUCAAUUCUCUCUCAUACAAAAUAUGCACAUUGCAAGAGGUCAGAAAUUGAUCACAGCUUAAGAAAACAUUUAUAUGUUAAGAAUCAGAGUUUACAACAGAAAGAUCAUGUUAGAAAAUGAAAGAAAUUACCUCUUGAAGCAGCAGAUCAACAAACAUAUGAACCUCUCUUGGCUCGUUGUGCUAUCAUAAAAGGAGAAGCUCAAAACAUUAGCUAAACUUAUGAAGGGAAUAGAUUUUGAACUAUUCGCUGCAAAAAUUUUACAGAAUUAACUAACCUUAAACCCAGUUUGGUGUUGUAAACCUCGUCCGCAACAUAACUGAUAUCUUUUGAGCUCUUAACCUUACAUACUGAAAGAAAAAAAUAAAGUACUCAAUGGCUACUUUUUACAUCAGAUUCAAAAAUUUAUAUUUACUUCAAGCAAGGAUUCCACUUCCAUCUUCCAUUCUCUUAGGCAAGAUAUGGCCUCAAAGGAUCUGAUUGUGUCCAUAAUCUAGUGAGCUAGGGUAAUAGUCCUCCAAAAUUCACUACACAAAUGUGAAAAGUAGAGUUUUUGCAUGUAGAAACUGAAGUUUUGAAUGAGAACAAGAAAUUUGGCUUCUUUGAAAUAAUAAUAUGAGAUAGAUUUUGAGUCUCGAAUCUAGCGAGCUAGGCUAAUAGCCCUCCAAAUUUCACUACACAAAUGUAACAAUUUUGCACAUAGUAAGUGAAAGUUUUUGAGCAAGAACAAGUAGUGGAAAAGAUGAUCCAAAAAUCCAUACAUGGUCCAAGCACUUCUCCCCAGCUACCCAGAAGGUGCGACAAAUCACUGCAGGGAUGAAAGCAGGGCCAUACUCAUAACCCCGAGCACGACCAGAAGAAAAGGAAGAAGCUAUUUCCUGACACCGUUAAAGAUAGGAUUUUUUAGAAAGUUUUCAGAAUUUAAUGGAGAUUACAUAUUCUCUAGUAGAAUGCAGAAACAAACACAAUAAAAACACAGAACAGAAAGUGACCUCGGUAAUUCUUGGGAUAGCACUUCGCCCAAUGAAAAGAGAUAGUUGAGCGAACAGAAGAACAAUCCCAGGAAGGACCUUUUCUCCUUGCACUCCCUGCGUCAAACUUAGAUCUUGGCUACCUGACUUACUCUUGCCUGAAAGAAAAAGGAAUCACUCAUUGAGUUUUCUGAAGAAUUCUUGAAAUCCUUCUUGUACCUAGUGAAUAGUUAAGUCUCUCAACUUCAAUGAUAGUUCAAGUUUUUCAUCAAGAAGCUGACGGAAAUCCUGAAAUAUGAAAUCCAUGGAAAAGACUGAGAACUAAUCAAGAAGAACAUAACAGGUAAUCUUCCAUUCAACGGAAUCAGUAUCAUGGAUUGCAGAAUAAAGAACGAAGCCUCCUUUGCCACCCAAAAAAGAGAAACAUGUCAAGAAUUAUGCAAAUACGAACUUAUGGGACCUGUUAAGCAACAACAAUUGGUCACUGCCUACACAGUGUAGGACAUCAAUAGACUUCAAGAUGUGGCUUUAUAAUAUUGCAAGCAUAUUCAUUACAAUAAGCAAUUCAUUUAACACAAAUCAACUAAGCAUCAAUACAAAAUAAGUUUGUCUUCCUACAUAUGACAAAAGUUGUUCCUCGUGAUGUAUAAAUCCCUAAACUUGUUAAACUUAAUGAGUUUGAAUCAAUGUAAUCUGGGUAGGAACACAUUACCAGCAUAUGGCAUUCAUAAAAUAGUGAAUUGUAUUUUAUACAGAGAGAAUCCACAUUGUAGCUUUUCUGUUUUGUCCUUAUAAUUGGCAAUUGAUGGCAGGAUUUGUGGUUGUUCAAGCUAGCAGGUGAAGGUAUAUUUACUUAAAAAAUGGAACAACAAAACCUACUCCUCACCCCUACCUACAACACACACACACAAGCACAAAGGGGGAAAACAAAAAGAAAUAGAGAUUCACAAUGAAGUAUAGCAGCACAGGCAUUCAUGAAAACAACCUUGAUCAUUACCCGCCAUCGUCGAAACAACCUAGUUAUUGAUGUCCUACAACACUCUGUAGGCAGUGACAUCAAGAGACUUCAACCUUGUUACACAGUGUAGGGGCAAGCAGAAAAUGUAGAAAAUCAGAGCAUAGGUAUUCUAGAAGACAACCUUGUUUAUUACCCCUCAUCCCUGCCCCUCCUAUUCCUUUUGAUCCCCAUAUUUUAAAAUUUUAUUGAGAGACUUUCAAAGGAAAUAUGACAUGCAAUUUCAGAAGUCCUGGCUUUACCGAAAGCCACAAGCUACCAGCUCUUAUCAGCAAGACAUUCAUACAGCCUUGAAUCUGCUAUACAAAUUUUUCAUACAUUAUUCCCAAAUUUUUAAGCCGUUUUUUAACUGGCUAGGUUGACAUUGCCAACCAAAAUAAAGUUCCAACAAAAGGCAAACUACAAAUUACCUAGGAAAACAACUUAAUUUACUCUCCUUGCCACUACUGAGUUGAUAAACAAAAAGAAAAGUAAAUUAUCAAUAAGGUUGACAAAUAAACAAAAACUAAAAAAACAAAAACAAGACAUAUCUCUAGAAAAAGGGAACAAGUAAAGCUACAAGCCAAACAGCAAAUGUACAAGCAAUAACAUGUCUGAGUUGAAUUCUGCAAAAAAAGAAAUUGAGCUUUAGGUUCUGGCAAUGUAUGAUUCUCAAACAGAGAACUCAAAACAAUUAAAAACGGAGCAAGUAAAACAAGUAAAAGAAAAUAACUUUGGAUCUAAAGGAAAUAGGAUGCCGUCACAAAUUUUCACCCUUCACUUUUGUAAAGACCAAUAACAGGAUAAAGAGAGCAGAAAGUUACAGUAAGUUACAAUGAAAAAAAAUCUUUUCACAAAAAAAAGGGAAAUUAAAACAUAUCGUCAAGGACCAUUCAUUUUUAUUUAACUCUAAAAGUGCAUUUACUUUUUAAACCCCUAUAGGCACACACAAAAGCCUAUUUCUACUUUUUCGGGUUAAAAGAAAACAUUUAGACAAAAAAUUCUGAAACAUAGGAGACAAAAAAUUGGCGGAAUGAAGAAAAAAAGUGUAAAAGUAGGUGCAUUCUAGUCCAGUGAAAGCAAAAAAAUUUCUUAUUCGUAAAAGGUUUAUGGUCAAAUGUAUCACCAUUUCCAAUGUGAUUUCUAACAUCAAAACUUCAACUAUAUUACCCAUUCACUUAUCAUAUCUCAAGUGAUAAGUCUUGCUUCAGAAAACUUCCUGUAUCACCAAAAAAUACACUACCUCGUUUUUCAAAUCAAACAAAAGAACUGGAGUAAUUUUCUACAUGCAUACAAUUGAUUGUUCAAAGCAUAUUUCCAAAGCCAUUCCCUAUUAAUCCUUCGGCAAAAUGUUGUGAAAUAUAAGAUAUUUCAAUCCAAAAAAGUACAAUAAUAAUGUUCUUGAUUAUUUAGAAAAGGGUAUGAAAAAAUGCAAACCUUUUUUGACUUGCUAAACCGUCCAGAACAUUAUCAUCCCCUCCUUCACUGCUCUCCAUAAAAAAAAAAUCCCUAAAUUACAGCAACAGCAAAAAACCCAAAACGAAAACAAAAAAUUGUUUCACCAAAACAUCAUAAAGAGCACAAUACAUUAUAGGGAAGUCAAAUUAUUCCUUCUUAAAGCAAUACGAAAAAACAGAAAAAAAAAAUCUUAGAGAUGAGAGUAAAAGCAUACGAGAAAAAGAAUUUGCUUGAAUCUGGAUUUUAAAGAUAAGGAAAAGUCGUGGAAGACACUUACCUUGAAUCUGUAGUCCAUGUAAAUAUUCAACCUUUUCACCUACAGCACCAUAGAAAGUACAAUCGAGUAUUAGGAAAAAAAAACCCACAAAAAUCACCGAUAAAGAUGACAAUUUCUGAGAAGGAGAUGAAGAAAAGUUUAAAAGGGAAAAAUGAUCUCCAUAUAUAUAUAUAUAUAUAUAUAUAUAUAUAUAUUGCUUUUAUAAUGGUGGAUGAUCCAGUGUACUCAUGAUUCAACUGAUGAGAGGAAGAAAGAAUGGGUAGAUGGCGGUGUAGAAAAAGACUGGAGAGAUGAAGAGAAACUAAGAGGAGGAAAAACAUUUUGACAUUUCUGGGAGAGAAAAUCCCGAAUCUUAUUUUCUUCCCAAAGAAAGGAACAAAGAAAAGAAAAAUGGAAGGGAAGAGAAGCUCUGGAGAUACCCUUUAACUUGUAAGAUAAGAAGAAGCCCAACGUGUGACCUUUGUUUUGUCUUGCACUGUUAUUUAAUGUUCAAUUAAAGAAGAAAGAGAAGAAGUGAAAGACAAAGAAAGGAGAAAGGGAGAAAGAAUCGGAGAAGAAAGGAAGAAAGACGGAGCAGAAGCAAGAGUAUAUGAGCGGCGCAAGUGAAGACCCUCAGAACCCUACCUAUUCAUCAAGGCGUGAAAUCUCAAUUUUAUCCUCAAUUCAAUUCAUCAGCUCAAUCAACGGAGGACUACCAUCAAUCAGCCAAUCACAGCACGCCACGUCAGCAAUUGGGUUCAAUUGGAGGGAUUGGCAUUCACACAUUUACUAUAUAUGUUAAUAAGUUGCAUCCACGUCUAUUUGCAGACGGCUUCGGCUUGGCUGGUCUUGCCCGCACUCAAUUGAGUUCGAUACUACUCGAGAAGAAAGCAAGAUGAGAGAGGCUCAAACCAUCAGCUGUGGAUGUUGAUUAUUGUCUAAUAAGUCCAAUAAAUUAUACGUUAUAUUUUUGGUUCAAGAGAGACUCUUAAGAAAACUUGACGAGUUCGAGAAAUUGCUUAAGAACGUUUUGAUAAUGUUAAUCCUUGUCGAACCCCUAGCAUGUACUAGUCUCUUGUCUGUAGUGUUAUUGGACCCGAAUCGGACCGAUCGGUCUGAUCAAUCUGACCGUGAACCAGUUUUCUUUUUGAAUUCAUUUGUAACAUAAAAUCACAUUGAUAAAAAGUUAGUUAAAACCAUCAAAAUCGAUUAAAUCAAUUAUCCGAUUCGACUGAUUGAUUCGAUUCUCAAACUUUUAUUUCUUGUUUUCCCCAAUAUAAUUUAAAUUACCUAAAUUGUAAAAUUUUGAUUCAUUAAUAGGAAUAAGAAAACGCCACCACUUAAGUUAAACACCACAAUCACUCGUUUCCCUAAAUGAUUUCUAAAUCAAGAAAUUUUCAUCUCUAUAAUCUUAUCAAAGUAGUAUCGGUGAUUCUAAUUUGCAUUAAUUUAUUUUAAUUUAGUUUUUUCAAGUAGUUUUGGAGAAUGGACAUGUGUUUAGUUGUGAAUUUACAUUUUUAUAUAUAAUUUUUAGGUGAAUAUUUGAUUGCAUGUCUAAUAUUUUUGGAACAUUUUGUAUGGUUGUCUGAAUAUAACCAAAAACUUAAUUUCAAUAUUUCUCAAACUUAUAAUACAAAAUAAUUACAAUAUCAUGUUGCCAUCAGCGGAUUUUUGAGAAUGGUCUGAUUGAUCCAAGUAGUUGACCCAUGACCCAAUAGUUUAAUUAAGUCAUUAUUUGGUCCGAAUUUAACAACAUUGCUGGCAUGCUUUCCAACUCCAACAUAAGAAGGUGUUCAGUACAAAAUUAGAGCCAUACACAAAAUUGGCAUAGGAUUGUGCGUCAAAUGGAAUCAUUAACUCACAGCGAAAACAUUUAUAGCUAGUUUGGGAGUUAGGGAUAGAAAAGAAAAGAAGAGAAAGGUUAACUUAUGAGAUAAAAGAAAGGAUAAGAAAAGAAGAGAUGAGAUUUUAAUAUUAUUUGGGAGUUCAUGAAAUAAAGGAUAUGAAUUUGAACACAUUGGUCAAUAAAAAUCUCAUUCGAUAUCUUUUCAAGGAUGGAAUGAGCAAUUUCAAAAUUUUUUGUAGGCUUUCUGCAACUUUCCUUUGCUUUCUACCCGAUUUGGGAUGAAUUUUUUUUAACUGUAGCUGGUCUCUAUUUCCUUCCAAAUCAGUUGUUUUCUUUUCUUUUCUAUUUCACUAAAACUCCCAAACGUUGAAAACAUUUAACUUUCUCUUCCCUUCUUUUUUUUUUUCCUGCUCAAAUCUUAUCUCCCAAACUAGCUAUUAGGCAUGGAAUAAUUCCCAAUCACGAUCAUACGGAGGUUCAUGCUGCAGUUUUAAAACAUUCAGUUUUUACCUUAAUUACGGGAAAUGAAGGAAAUUUUUGUACUGUACUACAUGAAGUAUUCUGUUAGUCCUAACAUAGGUCUACAUGGACUAUACUCUAUACUUCAUUGGCCUUACGAGCCCGUUUGGAUUGUCAUUUUCUGAAAAAUUUUUAUAUAAAAAUAUAUUAUAAUAAUUUGAUGUGUGUGGGAUAAAAAUGUGAUAAAAAAUAUGUUUAUAAAAAAUGUAAAAAAUUUUUUGAAGAAAAAUGGCAAUCCAAGUUUUUGGAAUCAGUCAAGUCUAAGCAUGACUUUUAAGUUAUAUAUAUAUGAAAAAAAAAAAAAAAAAAAACUCUUGGCAUGCCUUUGCGGGUUCAACGUUGACUUCACAUACGGAGUGUUUUGCACGUCUCAAAAGGAGAGUGGGUUUUCUGCAACCUUCAAAUGCUGAUGAAAUAUGAGAAGGACCGCCACGUAGACUCCUCGCCGACAAAAACAAUAUGCGCAACAAAACCCUACUCCAUCAGUUUUAUGCAAACUUCGAUACAUAGACUGACGAAAUUGUCCUUUUAUAAAAUUUAUCAUCCAGUAUGCAAAUCAAUUUUUUUUCUUCAUGCUGUUUUAAAUGAAAAAAAUAACCUUGCAUUUUUUGUCCUAUGAGAAGGCUUAGGCCUUGUCUAGAUUGCACUUUUUUAGGGAAAAUUUUUUUUUUUUUUUAUAAAUAUAUUUUUCAGUCAUUCUUUUCUUUUAUAUAUAUAUAUCAAAUAUUCUCUAUAAAAAAUUUUAAAAAUAGCAAUUCAAACAAAACUUUCAUUAACGUUAAGAAUAUUAAAAAUGGUUGCUUUUCUCAACUAUCCCACUCUAGCAAAUAAAAUUGUUUUUGUCCUUGGACAAAAUAAUACGAGUUUUAAAGUGCACAUUUGGUUAAUUUUUGCUGUAAUCACUUCUUUUCCACUUUUAAGUUAAUGAUGAAAUGUCUUAUUCUUCUCUUUGUGGUUAACAAAUUGAACUAUUUUAUUCAACAAUACAUGGGGUGAACAAAAUGCCUAAAUAUUAACUAAUAAAACAAAGACAGAUAGAACUAGAAUAAAGAGAACAAUGAUGUAAUUGUCAUACAUGAUUUUAUUGGUUUACAAGUAACAAUAAAGAGAAUAAAAUUGAAAAUUUAUGUAUAAAAUCUAAGCUUGAAAACUCUCCAAAAAAAAAAGUUACAAAAUAUUCUAAAGAAUUAUUACACCUUUGCCUAUUGUUCUUUUCUUCUAAAUUGUUCUAAUUAUUAUAUGUAAGUUCAAUUAAUACCUCCUCCUGUUUACACUCAUGGCAUAGCCACAAAAAUCAACCUAAAACCAAAAUUAAUUAAAAAAUAUAAUGCCAACAUCCCAAUGUCAACUAGGGUUGUAAACGAACCGAGUCGCUCGCAAUCCGCUCGAAUCAAAGGAUCGAAUUCGAGUCGAGUUUGAGCUGGCGAAAUCGAAAUCGAGCUCGAGUUUGAGUUAAAAAUAUUAAGCUUGUUAACUCGAGAGUUCGAGUAUAUAUACAUAUAUUAUUUUUUAUUUUAAUAGUAAAAUUACAUAUAUAUUCAUAAUAUUUUAUUAUUUAUUAAAAAAUAUAAUUAUUUGUUAUUUUUAUUAGAUUUAUUUCUAGAAACUCGAGCUAACGAGCUGCUCACGAGUCAGAAAUUCGAGCUACAUUAAGAGCUGAUAAUUCGAGUUGCUUGCGAGUCAAAAAUCGAGCUACAGCUCGCGAGCCUAACUUUUCCUUGGUUGAGUCGAACUCGAAUUCGAACUCAAGUCCACCUGUUAUUAAGUUGAGGUAGACUCGAUAAGUCCAAAAUUUGAUUCGACUCAGCUCGUUUGCCCCUAUCAACCAAGGACUAAGGACGGAAGAGAGAAAAGGAAAGAAGAUGGGCAAUUUGGUACUGUGAAACUACACCAUACGUGUCAUCCAUGUAUUGUACUCCAGUUUACACCCUCCACAGCAUCAACUUACAUCAUCCUCAAUCCUCAUCAUCCCCAAUCUUCGUCAUCUCAUCUCAUCACAUCAGCAUAGAGUUACGAAAUACUCAUAAUAAUAAUAAUAAUAAUUCAUAUUUUUCUCCCAAAUUUGAGAAGUCAUCUCUCCAAACUCUCUUCUAAACCUUCUUCUUUAAGUUCUCUCUCUAUUUCUUUCUCUCUAAUUAAUGACUCUGAUCAGAUCCAAACAUUUGCUAUUACGACUUUCCCCCAAUUUCCAUUCCCAUUCCCAUUUCUCCCUCAAAAUUCACAUUUUAAUCACAAAAUCAGCACUAAAAAUCUAUUGAUAUAUUAUACAUAUAGAUAUCUGUACAUACAGUUCUAUCUGUAUAUAUUUCAAUUUGUGUGUGUGAGAGAGAGAGAGCAGUAGAAAAGAGCAAUGGGAGGAGUUCCUUCGACACCGCGGUGGGGCGGUGCGGCGGAGAUGAGACCGGCGGAAACGGCGGAGUACCUGAUUGGAGCAUUGGUUGGAGAGAAGUCGUAUCCGCUUGCCUCUGAUUACUGGCAGAAGCUUCUCGAGUCUCCUCUCCAUCUCCGUUGGCCUGCUCAUCGUGUUCUUCAAGCUUCUCAACUCUUCGGUUAGUUUAAAGCUCAAGUUCUCUCUCUUUCGUUAUUAUGUUUUAUUAUUAUUUUAGUUUUUCUUUAUUCCUUAAUUUGAUUCUGAUUGAUUUAGCUUCAUAGCUGCAUUGUGAAAUUUAGGUUGGAGAACUGUAACAAACCAGUUUCUAUUUUGUUCAAGUGUUUAAAUUAUGCAAUUUUGCUAAGUUUUGUGCCUUAAUCGUAGUUUUGAAGUUCCUGUUAACUAGUUUCAUGCUUACUUUAGUUUAGGGUGCUUUAAAAUCCAAUUUUUAUGGAUUUCUGCUAUAGGAUUACCACAAAAAAUGUUGAUUGAGGGAUAAUUGCGUGCAUUUUUAACUAAGCUAGUAUUUGAAGAUGUUUUGCUUGGGAACAAGCAUUGAUGUAUGGUAGUAUUAGGUUGAUGGGUGCUGCAAAUUAUGCAUGUGAAGAAAUAUUUGAUAGGUUAGCGUGUUAUGGCUUGAAGACUAAUUAUCGUAUGUGUUCUUCAGUAAUUAAUUGUGCUAUUUCAGGGGGACACGUGGAGGUAAUGUACGUUCUUGAGUAAUGCUUAGUGCUCUUAUGCUAUUACACGUGGCAAUGGAAAUGAUCGGUAUACUUAUCUAUACAGUGCUUGUUGAGGGUAACAUGGUAUGGGAUAGAGUUUCUAGUUGAAGAGAGUUUUGAAGGAUUAUAUUGUAUGUAUGACGACUUAUGCCACUUUUAGAACCUUGUGCGUCUCCAUAUACAUCAUGCUGCAUUCACAUUAUUUUGAAUGCCAUAAAUGCAUGUGGUUAGUUUUACUUGGAGGUGUAAAAUGUGGAAAGUGUUGCCAACGUUGUUUAGCUGUGCCUCUUUAAAACCUUUUGGAUGUUUUCUGAAGUUAAAGAGCUACUUGCAUUGGCCUAUUUGGUAGUGCCUAAUCAGAUUGUGGUUGUUUCUAGCUGGGCUGCAUGUUUAGUAACUUUUAGAUAAGGCACUUUUUGUACGACAUUCACUAAAAUAACUUAUGAAUGGCAUUUAUUAACAAUCAGAGACCUGAGCAAAUAUCAUCUUCCGUCUUUGCUAACAUCAAGGAUUGUUUUAUAUCGCUAGGCCAUUGUCAUUUGAUGCUGCAGCUGUUAUGUUAACCAACUUGAUGUUAGUUUAGGAAAUUCUGCAAGCUGUCAUACAUUAAUUGAUUUUCCAGUGUGCCUGCCUUUGGUAACUAAUUAUGCAUUUGGUCUCCAAGUUUUUAGUAAACUAACUGAAAAUGAUAGUUUAUUCUUGGACCUUAAUCAACUUCUGAGCCAUUUAUUUUGCUUGCUUUUUCCCAUCUUGCCCCACCCAAAGAAAGGAACAAACAAAAUUGAUGAUGAGGGCUCUGUGAUCUCUAUCCCUAAUUAUGUGGCUUUCAAAGGAAGAUUUACGAACUUUCCUAUUUCUCGAUGUUGUUUAAGAUACAUUUAAAAUCAUUAAACUAGCUUGCGUGAAAGGUAAGAAGAGGACUGAGUGAUAUAAUUUUUGGCUAAUGAAGGAAUUUCAGUUUUACAUCUGGUUUGAAUCUGUUUUGAGUGAGGUGGCCCAUCAUCUUUAACUUUUAUUUUGCUGUGAUAGUUUUGCUGAUCGGCAAUCUUUGUCUGAGCUUCUGUUGAUUUCUGCAGCUCAGAACAACUGUAAAACAAGACACCUUGCCAAGAUUUUAGUCCACCUAGCAUGGUGUUUGCAAGAAUGUGUGUCUGCUUCUGGUGUGCCCUCAGCAGCUCUUGUUAGAGCUCUUAAUGCAUUAUACAUCUCCUCUGUGUUCCUGAAGUACUUCAUUGAGAAUGCCAAAAGUGACCACUUUGAAGAAUUGCACCUAUCUCUAGAUGAAAAUGAGGCCAAACCAACUAGCUUCUCAAAAGGUGAUCCAUUUGUGCCAUUUUGUUCUUAUUUUGAUUGUGACUAUUACUUAUAUUUUGUGCCUUUAGUUGAUCCACCUUCCCUACUCUCCUGUCUGACAAUCCAACCCUUUUUUCUAAAGGAGGAGGUCCAGGUAGAUUCCAAGUGAAGAUAGUUUAUGGAAUUU
rnacentral:lncRNA from 1 species